rnacentral:lncRNA from 1 species
CGACAUACAUCUUGGUUGGUUCCACCACCACUAGAGAUUGGACAUAUAUAUAAUCUUUCUUCUAAAAAAGGGAUUCUUAUAUAUAUAUUUUGAAAAUAGCUGCAAGACCAAAACCGAAAGCCCUUCGUUUAUUGUUGUUCCUCCCAGAUACAUGGCUUACAUACCCGGCUCAACAUUCUUGGAAAACAAUCGAAUCGAGGGUUCGGAGGAGAAUUGGCCAUUCAAUCUUGUGAACUGAAUCUAGUUGAAAUUGGAAAAAGAGAUACGAACGGAGAGGAAUAACCAAUCGAUGAAAGAACAUGAAACCAUUCUGUUUCAAUAGAGGUACGAGAAACGGUUGGGGGCAAUGAAGUAGGUGAAGUGGUUGGAUUUUGCGAGCUGUUCCAACCACUGCUGGAUGUGAUUCCAAGAGCCGAACGAGAAUGAAUACCACACAGAAGAGUCAAGACCAGGCUACCUAAUGGAAUGUUUAACCGAUCCAUUCCGGAUCGACCGAAUUGGUACGGAAGUUGUAACAUGGGAAAACCACGGAAAACACGACUUAUUUGAAUAACCCGGUGACCUACCAAUUGUAGAAGUAGGAUUUUUGGCAAGCAAUAAGCACUUAAAUAAUACAAUUCAAGUGUACCAUCUUCUUUCUCAUUUCGAGGAAAAGGUGCGGAAGGAAAAGGAAACAACGGAGGGAUCCGAAUCGGACCUAAAUGGGACUUACUAUAACUAGUUAUUUCGGUUUUCUAUUAGCGGCUUUAACUAUAACCUCAGCUCUAUUUAUUGGUCUGAUAUUCCUCUCAAUCGGUCUGCGGAUGAAAAGAAGAACUUAGAUGAACUAGGGUACCGAGACCCUUCUGAAAAGCCCUCCAAAACUAGGAAGUAUACUGAGUAUCCCUAUUAGAGAUGAUAGCCAAAGGAACUCCAUGAAAUCUAACUAACUCAUGGAUAUACAAUCUAGCAUAAUCCUCAGCUGUAUAAAACGAAUGCACUGGCAAGAAAUGAGCUGAUUUAGUCAACCGCUCUACGACAAUCCAAAUCGAAUCAUGAUGACGACGAGAAGGAGGCAAACCAAUUAUGAAAAUUCACUUCUUCCCACUUCUAAGUAGGAAUACCAAACUCUUGCAUUACACCACCAACCCUCUCCUUCUCUCCCUUAACUUGUUGACAAGUAGAACGCUUUUCCACAAAUCCUGCUAUGUCUUUCUUCAUACCGUUCCACUAAUAGAUUUCCCGCAAAUUACGGUACAUCUUGGUAGCACCGGGAUGAAUAUAAUAUCGUGCACCAUGUGCUUCAGCCAUAAUUAUCUGCCUCAAAUCAUCAACAUUCGGAACACACAGUCUACCUUGCAAUCUCAACACACUAUCUCCCCCUUGGGAGAAAACCUCUACCUUCUUGUCCUUAACUGACUCCUUCAGUCUGACCAAACUAGGAUCCCUGUCCUGCUUCUCCUUUACCUCUGAGACCAAAGAGGACUCGGAACUACUCUGAACUAAUAUAAUCCCCUCAGUGUAAUCAAGCAAUCUAACACCCAACCUAGCCAAAUGAUGCAUAUAACGAGCCAAUUCUUUCUUAUCAUUCUCUACAUGAGCUACACUACCCAUAGAAAACCUGCUAAUAGCAUCUGCCACAAUAUUGGCCUUGCCUGGGUGAUACAUCACACUCAUAUCGUAGUCUUUUAGAAAAUUUGACCAUAUUCUUUGUCUAAGGUUCAGCUCCCUCUGAGUAAACACAUACUGCAAGCUUUUUUGAUUAGUAAAUACAUCAACAUAAACACCAUACAAAUAAUGUCUCCAGAUUUUCAAAGCAAAAACUACAGCUGUUAAUUCAAGAUCAUAGGUUGGGUAAUUCUUCUUAUGAGGCAUCAACUGUCUAGAGGCAUAAGCUAUAACUUUACACCUCUGCAUUAACAUAUAACCCAGACCAACUCUAGAAGCAUCGCAGUACACCACAAACCUAUCAGUACCAUUGGGUAAAGCUAACACUGGGGCUUAAGUGAGUCGAGUCUUCAACACUUGAAAACUCUUCUCAUAGGCAUCUGUCCACUGGAACUUAACUUUUCUUUGGGUCAACUAGGUCAUGGGGGAUGCGAUAGAAGAUAAUCCCUCAACAAAAUGACGGUAGUAACCAGCUAGACCUAAGAAAUUCCUAAUAUUUGAUGGGGAGGUAAGUCGAGGCCAUUUUUUCAUAUUUUACGUCUUUUGAGGAUAAACUCUAAUUACUUUGAAAGAAAUAAUAUGACUCAGAAAACCAACUGAACUUAACAAAAAUUCACACUUGCUAAAUUUAGUGAAUUAUCAAUGAGCUCUAAGGGUUUCCAACACGAUUCAAAGAUGAUCUGCAUGGUAAUCCUCACUUCGAUAAUAUACAAGAAUAUCAUCUAUGAACACAAUAACAAACAAAUCCAGAUACCGCUUAAAUACUCUGUUCAUAAGAUCCAUGAAAGCUGCUGGAGCAUUGGUUAACCCAAAGGACAUAACAAGAAACUCAAAAUGACCAUAGCGGGUUUGGAAAGCUAUCUUUGGAAUAUCACACUCUCUCACUUUAAGCUGAUGAUAGCCGGAUCUAAGGUCUAUCUUUGAGAAAUAACUUGCACCCUGCAGCUGAUCAAAUAAAUCAUCGAUUCUAGGAAGAGGGUACUUGUUCUUAAUAGUCACCUUGUUGAGUUGAUGGUUGUCAAUGCACAUACGCAAUGUACGAUCUUUCUUCCACAGAAAUAGAACAGGUGCUCCCUAUGGGGAAACACUGGCUCUGAUAAAGCCUUUUUCUAAGAGAUCUUUGAAUUGCUCCAUCAACUCUUUAAGUUCUACGGGAGCCAUAUGGUAUGAAGGGAUGGAAAUAGCUGAGUGCUAGGAAGGAGAUUAAUCCCAAAUUCUAUUUCUCUAUCAGGUGGAACCCUUGGAAAGUCUUUCGAGAAAACAUUGGGAAACUCUUUAACAAUGCUAACUGAUUGAAUAGUCGGAGUCUUGGACUUGAGGUCUUUAACUCAAACUAGAUGAUAGAUGCAACCCUUGGAAAUCAACUUCCUAGCUUCGAGGUAGAAUAUGAAAUGGCUCUUUGGAGUUACAGAACUCCUGAACCACUCAAACACGAGUUCAUUAGGAAACAGAAACUUGACCACUUGGGUACGACAAUCUAUAUACGCAUAGCACGAGUGAAGCCAAUCUAUACCAAGAAUGACGUUAAAUUAACCAUAUCUAGCCAAUCAAAUCAGCACAUAUGACCCAAUAAAGGAAAGUAAUAGGACACUUCUUAUACACUUGCUUAGCUAUAACAAACCCUCUUACUGGGGUAGAAACCAGAAGAGGCUCAAGAAUCCAUUCAGGGUCCAUCACAAAAUUUAUAGCAACUAGAGGUGUCACAUAAGAGAAACUCAAACCAGGGUCCAUCAAUACAUACACAUCAAAGUGAAUGACACAGAGCAUACCAGUGACAACAUCUGGAGAAUCCUCCUACUCCUGGCGAGGCAGAAUAGAAUAGAAGCAAUUCUGGCAUAAACCACCAACAGUACUAGAAGAGGCACCUUGAUGAGGAACUGGGCGGACUACUGGAGUAGGCGUAUUAGUAGCUUGACUCUGGGGAUGAGCAUCUCGACUCCCCUAUCUAGCAUACGGAUAAUCUCUAAGUCGGUGGCCCAACUUGACACAACCAAAGCAAUCUCUCUGGUCAACAAAACACUCAUCAAAAUGAUCUCUACCAUACUUGGCAUAUGAAGGAGGACGAGGUCUUUUACUUACACUUUCCUAAGACCUGGAUGGGAUAUGCUUGUUCCCAUGCUCCUGCCUGCUUCUAGGUACGGAAGCACUAACUGAGGAAGGAACGGGCAUAAACGGAUGUCUCUGGAAUUGAGGGUGGUCCCCGCCAUAGAAUCUGGACUGAACGAAUCCUCGCUGCUCUAAUCUAGCUCUUUUAUUCCCUCUUACUCUCUCAUUCUCUUUCACCUAAUCAACUUUAAUCUAUUGGACAUGUAUCAUCAACCAAGAAAGGUCCAUCUCCUUAUUAAGCAUAGUAGAUCUACCCUCUUUCACAACUUAACUCGACACACCGAUCACGAACUUACUCAUGAUGGUCCUGGAGUCAGCCAUCAUACUAGGUGCAUAUUUGGACAACUAAUUGAAUCUAAGGCAAUAAUCCUUAACAGUCAUGGAGUCUUGUCUCAAAUUCAUGAAUUACUCUGUCUUUGCUUCCCUUAUCUCAAGAGGAAAGAAUCUAUCCAAGAAUGCAUCUAGAAUAACUGCCAAGUCAUAGGAGAAGCAUCCUUCCCUCUACUUUCCCACCACACUUUGACAAUAGUCAAGAUAAUAUAAGAGAGAAUGACAUAUCAUAAACAUACUGGAAUAAGAUACGAAACUAGCCUGAACAAUCCAAAAUACUAAAAUUCUGUACAUACCAACCUUUUAGCCUGACAAAGCCUCUAUACAUCAAAAUCAAGGAGAUAUUGGGACAAACCCCCAACUGACUCAAACAGUACUGAAAGCCAUAAAAACAAAAUGGUAUCACAAAAUUAUAAACACGAGCCUCGAAACAUGAGGACUCACCACUGAGCAGACAAAAAGAGGCACCCAAAUAUCGCUAACGCGACUGAGUACCUGAACCUACAUUAAGAGAAAAUGUAGCCCAUAGAAAAAUAUGUGGGUCAGCACUUUGGAAAGUACUGAGUAUAUACAGGUGCAUGCAACAAUGUAAAUAUCUUCAUCAAUGUCAUGAAAAUAUGCAUAUGUACAAUGAUGGAUCACUUGGCUUGAGUAAGAUUGAAACAUAAUUUUCAUGAUCUCAUCUUAAAUAAAUCAUAUGAUAAAAACCUCAUAUAUCAUCAUAAACAACUCCACUCUUCAACUCAAGACUCAGAUUGACCUGUAAUUCAAGAAACUAGACUCUUAUGGACAUAGGAGGUUCUUAUAACCAACAUAAACUAUGUGAGCUACAUGGAGUCCAAUGUUUUUCCCUCCUAAGGAGAGAACCCCACAUUGGCGGGAGCAUCGUACUCUUGUCAGGGAGUACAACCUAAAUUUAGUGGUCACAAACUCAUACUCGGUCUCCGGCCCACAAUUAUCAAUAUCAAUCAUACGGUGUCACGUAGUUUCAGGGGAAAUACCAUAUUUCUCGCUCGGUGCUAAAUACUACUCCCAGACACAAGCUCAGAAUGCAUUAGAAAAUCCACCACAAAUAUCACAAGAGUCUGUUAUGAAGAUCAAAUCAAAUCUCAUUCUCAUUUGUCAAAUCAUAAUCAAUUUGUUGAUUCCUAACUCGACCCAAAUCAAAUCAAUCUUUCUCAAUAUCAAAAUGCAUCAAUUCAUUAAGUGAUGAAAACAUCAAUAACUUUGAGGAAAUAUCAAGACUCAUUGUAACAACUCAAUUCUCAUGAAUCAAUAUACCCAAUAAUCCAAUUUGUCAUAAGGAAGCUAAACGCUUGACACAUAUCUUGGAAGCACUUGAAAUACCAACUCAUGGUAGAAACUUGAAAUUCACAAUAUUAAAUAUCAAGUCAUAACUUGGAAAUAGUAAAAUAAUCAUGUAUAACAAAGCUUGAACGAUUUAUAUUCUCAUAAUCUCAUGAUGAAGUAAUUUGGGUAUAAACCCACUUGCAAAAUCAUAUAAAUCCAUUAUAAAAAUCAAACCUUUGAGCACAAGAACGAAAGAAUUGCUCUUGUUCAAAACCCCACAUACCUUAAUCUUUGAAAUUGGUUGAACUCUAGUGCUUGAAACUUUACUCACACUUGUAAUAAAAAAAUUCUUCAACCCCACUCUAUGACGAACUUGAUUCUUGAAGGAAUCUUAAAGAUUUAUGGAGGAUUUUUGGAAGAUUAAUUUCCUUAAAUAAUUCCCGAGAUAUAUUUCUUAAGAGAAUUGGAAGAAAGAUAUGAAGAAAUUAGAUUUUGAAUAAGGAUUCUCAUAUAUAUAGAGGCCUCCAAAAAUGGGAAAUGACUAAAAUUUCCUUGCAAAAAUCAUCCAUCAAUUGCUGAAAAAAAUAGCUGACGACAUCCGUGAUAAGCUGUCAGGCCCGUGAUAGGCCGUCACGAAUUGUCGUCACAAAAAGGGUGGAUUUUGUGACUUUCUACCUUAAGGUGACGACAUUUUGUGACGGGCAGUCAGUUUUGUGACAAGUCGUCUCAAAAGAUCGUCACGGAUUUUCUAGGCUGACAUGUUGGAGUAAAAUAAGUAUAACUCUUUGCUCCGAUAUUGGAUUUUGAUGAAAUGGGUAUCGUUGGAAAGCUAAUUCAAUUAUAUAUCUUUUUGUAGGUCAUGAGAUCAAUAAUUCCUAUUACAACUCGAGCUAUGCUCAUUUGAAGUUUACUAUGCCAAAAUCCUUCUCAAGAGUUCAAUCGGUAAAGAGUUUUUGUUUUGCCCAAGCGUUAGGACAUCUUUAAAACCUUAAUACACAUCACCCUUGACUAGAAAACAACCAAAACACUAUAAUUUAUUUCUCAUGGACUUGAUUCAUGGCGGCACUAUUAGUUAGAAUCUCGGGGUAUUACAAUAUUACUUUUAAUUAUCUUUGCUAUAUACCUUUCUGUAAAUAUAAUGCAAAUUUAUCUUAUAUUGUUAUAAUUGAAUUAAAAAAAUAUUUGAGAUGAGCCACAUAUUUUUUAAAGUAAAUUAUGUAUUAUUAUUGUUAUUAUUAUUAUUAUUAUUAUUAUCAUUAUUUUUAUUAUUAUUAGUAGUAGUAGUAGAUAUGUAUGUUUUACUACUACUACUACUAAUAUUAUAAGUUAUAUUUUAAUUAUUAUUAUUAUAUUUUAUUUAAUAUUUAAAUAUAUUCAAAAUAUAUAAAUUUAUGAUAUAAUUAGAGAUGUUUUAGGUCUUUUCAACUAUGAUUUUUUAAUUUUAAACUAAUAAAUUAUUUUUAAAAUUUUCAAAUCCUACUAUUUUCAAAUUCAUAUAUUUCUAUUAACAUAGUGAAUUACUUAUGUAAGACUUAAUUACCUGCAUAACUCACUGCUAAACUAACUAAAAAAAAAUACGCUACUACCUGCAUAAAUAAUAUAUAGAUAAUCCCUAAAUUAAAAAAAUCUGCAUAACUCUAAUUGACGUCCUUUCAUUAUUUACUUUUUGCUUCUUAGGUUUAAGUGGGUAAAUAGAUGAAAAGAGAAAAUAAAAGACUCUCAUAUCUUGUUUCCCCAGAAGCACCUCUUUAGAAGAAGGGUGUUGUUGAAGCAACUCAUUUUCAGAUUCAAGCAGUCUUUUGUUUUGUUCCUCUUCAAAAACAAAAGCAUGAGCCGAGGCAACCAUUUUCUUUUCUCACAGGAAAUGAAGAACAAGAAGAAAACUGCAAUUUAAAACCAGGCUUUAAAUUUCAAAAACAAUAUAAAAAAUCAUGAAAGCAAAAGGGGAAAGCCAAAGUGCAAAAAGAACUCACCAGUAGUAAGAUACAAAGGAUGAGAGUGAGAGAGGAAGGAGGGUUAUAUUAAAAAUGGAAUGAAUACAGAGGUGGCAGAACACAUCUAUCAAAUAUUCUUUAACAACACACUAGCUACAUCACCGACAUUUCAAAAUCGAGGCAACUUUUUAUCUUGUUUAAAAAAAAAUUUCAAAGAGUGUGAGUAGGACUGAGGUUAUCUUAACUGUGUCAAUUGGUUUGCCCUCUUAAAAUCUUCAUUUUCUAUUUCUUUUAAUUGAACACAAUUUUAAGAUGGCAAACUAAUUUACGCAGUUAAGACAACCUCAAUCCUACUCUCACACUUUGAAUUUUUUUUCUGGAUAGGACAAAAAGUUGCCUUGAUUUUAAAACAUCGGUGAUGUAGCUGGUGUAUUUUUAAAGAAAUUUGAUAGAUGUGCUCUGCCUCUGCUGUAUUCGUUCCACUUUUCAUAUAACCCUCCUUCCCUUCUCUCUCGUCCUUUGUAUCCUAGUAUUGGUGAGGUCUUUUUGCACUUUGUUUUUCCCUUUUUGCUCUCAUGAUUUCUUAUUUUGUUUAUGAGAUCUAAAGCCUGGUUUUAAAAUUUCAGUGUUCUUCUUGUUCUUCAUCUGCUGUAAGAAAAGGAAAUGGCUACCCCGGCUCAUGCUUUUGUUUAUGAGGAAGAACAAAAUAAAAGAUUGUUCUAAUCUGAAAAUGAGUUGCUUCAAUAGCACCCUUCUUCUAAAAAUGUGCUUCUAGGGAAACUAGAUGUGAAGCCUUUCUUUUCUCUUUCCAUCUGUUUACCCACUUAAACCUAGGAAGCCAAAAGUAAAUAACAAAGGGGCCUCAAUUAGAGUUAUGCAAGUUUUUUUACUGUAGGGAUUAUCGAUGUGGAAAUCUAUAUAUUAUUUAUGCAUGUAUUAAUGUAUUUCUUGGUAGUUGAUUUAGCAGUGGGUUAUGCAGGUAAUUAAGUCCUACAUAGUUAAUAUUAAAAUAUUAUUAGUUGGUUUAGCUUACGUUUACUCCUAUUAACAUAGAAUAACCCUCGAAACCCUAAAGAAGGCCCAUGAAAACCCAUCUACCAAAUAGAUGGCUCGGUAGCCUUUCUCAACUGGUUUGAUGGCCCGCUUUUAGGGCGCAAAUAUGGAUGAACAUGAUUAUGCUAUUCAAGAAAAUUAUAGUAGUACUACUGGGAGUUUGGAUUAAAAGGGACAAAUAAGUUGUCUAAUUAAGUGAGAAUCCUUCAAGUUUUUAAAAUUAGGUGGGAGGGACAAAAUUUUUUUGAUUUUUUUUUAAAGUUUUUUCGUUCCAACAACUUCUCCCAAUUGUCGAACAACUUUGAUAGCUGUUCGACAACUUCUAGCAGUUGUUCAACAACUAUCAAAGUUGUUCGACAGCUACGCUAAGUUGUUCAACAACUAGGCGAAGUUGUUCGGCAACUGGGAGAUGUUGUUCAACAACUGCAUGAAGUUGUUGAGACAACUAAUGUAGUUGCCGAAAACUGUCACAGUUGUUCAAAUAGCUUAAUUUUUUUAAAAGGGACAAGUUACGGGACCCAUUGUCCCCUUUUCUUAAUUGGAAACUUAUGAGGUCUAUUGAUUCAUUUUUCUCACUUAAGUAUUUAAGUUGUAUAUAUCAUGAAGUAGUUAGCUUAUAUUUGCACUGUAAAUUGUAAUAUUAAGUGUAGAGAUAGUCCUAUAUACGUUUAGUACGUCAAAGAGAGCUACUCGCAAACAUUGUGCAAUUCAAUUUGUCGCAAGAAGCACUUAAUCAUCAUGCAAAUACUUAUUGGUUCCGAAUAUUUACCCCUAAUCAAUGAUUUUAGUAAUAAUAAAUUAAGAAUAUAAGAUCAUUCAAUCAUGAUAACAAAAAUAAUUUAUAAAAGAUAUUAUCUUGUAAUACUGGGUAUAAAGAGAGGUAGAUGUAGGCUGAGGAGGUCUACGUAAAGGUGAUUAGAUUAGGUAUUUGUAGCUUUUCGAGGCUAUGAUCUAGUUAUAAAAAUACGGAGAUCAAGGAUGUGGUUAGUGGAUGGCUAAGCAUUGUCUAAUUUCCCUAUUAAGUAGUAUUUUUGUUUUUACUUUCAUACUAUCUUAUUCUUCUAUAUUAGAAUAAUUUGUUUGUUUUUAGUUCAGUUAUCAUCUUAAUUGUUUGUUGUUGCUACUAUUUUCAAAUUUACUAUUUUAUUUGUUUUACAUGCCUAAUUUUUUUUUAUAUGUUUUACUUGAGUCGAGAGUCAAGAGUCAAUCGAGAACAACCUCUCUAUCUUCACAAGGCAGAAGUACAUGUCCAUACUACCUCUCCAAACUCCACGUGUAAUAUUAUGUAUGUUAUUAUUGUGUAUAUCUUGAAUUGAUUGAUCAAAUGUAAAUACCCGAUGUUGAGGUAUACUUGUACCCAUUGGCAGAGGGAUAGGGAUAAUCUUAGGAAAAGGGUGAUUUGAUGUACAUCUUUUAUAAAAAAGAUUAUAUAGUGUGCAGAAGCUUAAUAUUAGCUAUUAUACGUCUAUAUUAAAUUUUGUACAUCCUUAACACAACUAAAAAGAAAAUAUGCACACUCCUCGACAAAUUUCUGACGACACUGCUACUGCCUUGCCUCAACUGUGUACAUGUAAAGAUGACGCCAUAUAGCAUUUGUCAUCUACAUGACGCCCAAACUCUUUUCUCAGUGUACCUACCCAACCUGUCACCUUAUUUUCUGCUUUUAUAAUUGCAUAUCCUUCCAAAUUUCAUACACCGUCCAUUUCAUUUUUAUUAGAUUAAAAAUAACUAUUUUAAUUUAUUUGUGUAAUUUAUAAAAUUAUAAAAAAAGAUUAUUACGUGAAGUAUUAAAUGAAGUGAAAGGUGUAUUCUACAAAUAAAUAAAUGCUAGUUUCAUUUAAUCCAUAUUCCGUACUAAGCUCGGAUCCAAACAACUCUACAUAUAAAUAAUAAUAAUUAAAUUUUAAAAUAUAAUUUAUAUUAUAUUUUUUAAUUUACAAUUAAUAUAAUUUAAUGACCGAUGUAUUAAAUAUAUUUUAUUAAAAUUUUUUAUAAUUAUUAAAGUUCUUAAUCACAUAAUUGGAUAAUUUUUUUAAAAAAUUAUUUGUACGGAAAAAGUAUUAGAGGAGAAUUAGAAUAUAACAAGAGACCACAAGUAAUUUAAUAUUUGAUAAAAUGAUAUGAUACAACAUCAACAAUAACAACAUACCCAGUGGAUUCCCACAUAGAGGGGUCUGGGCAGGGUUGAGUGUACGCAGAUCAUACCACUACCUAAGAUGAAGUAGAGAGUCUGUUUCCGACAGACCCCCGGCAUAGGACCGAUAGCAGUAUAACAAACACAAAACAUAAAUGCAAAAAAAAUAGUACAGUCUGCAAAAUAAACUAACGUCACUUGCCAUAAGAUAAUACUAUAGUCACAAAAUAAUACUAAAACUAUCUAUCCGAAAUCAUAGACAUCACUUAAUACCACGAACAAGAAACUUCAAACACAAAUAAAGAAUGCUCCCCUAUUGUUACCGACACACUCUCAACCCCUAACUCUCUACCCUAAUCGACAUUCUCCACACCUUCUUAAUCACAUCCCUCCAAUAUUUGUUCGGUCAACCUCUACCUCGCCUAAAAUCAGCCAUAGCCAAUAUCUCACACCUUCGCGCUGGAGCAUCAGAUCCCUUCUUCAUCAUAUGCUCACACCAACGUAACCUUACUUCUCGUAUGUUGUCCUUCACCGAGGCCAAUCCCACCUCUCCCAAAUAAUCCCAUUUCUUACCUUAUCUUUUCUAGUAUGGAGACACAUCCAUCGCAAUAUUCUCAUUUCCGCCACUUCAACUUUGGAUGUGGGAGUUCUUAACUGGCCAAUACUCUCCAUACAACAUAGUCGGCCAGACUGCCUCUCUAUAGAACUGACCUUUAAGCUUCGGGGGCAUCUUUCAUAUCACAUAAAACACCCAAAGUGAGCCUUUACUUAAACCACCCAGCCCCAAUAUAUUGUGUGACAUCCUCGUCAAUCUCACCAUUGCCUCAAAUCAUAGACCCCAGAUACUUGAAACUCUCCAUCUUCUGAAUGGCCUGAGAGUCUAACUUCACAACCACGUCAGCCUCCUACGACGUAUCACUAAAAUUACACUUCAAGUACUCCAUCUUGGUCCUGCUUAAUCGAAAUCCUUUAGACUCAAGGGUCUGUCUCAAAAUCUCCAACUUAUCAUUAACACCUCCCCGAGUCUUGUUAAGAAGUACCACAUUAUUAGCAAAUAACAUACACCAAGGAAGCUCCUCUUCAAUAUGUCUUGUCAAAAGAUUCAUCACCAAGACAAAUAAAAAAGGGAUAAGAGUCAAACCCUGAUGCAACCCUACCAAAAUUGAAAAAUGCUCUGAAUCUCCACCUACUGUCCUCACUUGAGUCUUUGUGCCAUUAUACACGUCCUAAAUCAACUUAGUGUACACCACAGGCACCCCUCUAGCCUCCAAAAACCUCCAGAGAAUCUCCUUGGGAACUCUGUCAUAAGCCUUCUCAAGAUCAAUAAACACCAUGUGCAAGUUCUUCUUUAUGUCCCAAAAUUGUUCCAUUAAUUUUCUCACAAAGUGAAUGGCCUUAUUAGUCGAGCAACCUAUCAUGAAAUCAAACUAAUUCACAGUGAUAAUCACACUCCUUCUUAGCAUCAACUCUACCACCCUUUCCUAAAGCUUCAUAGUCUGACUUAACAACUUAAUACCGCUAUAGUUGUUGCAACUUUGGAUAUCUCCCUUGUUUUUAUUCAAUGGAAUCAUUGUACUCCGACUUCAAGAUUCAGGCAUCCUUCCCGCCCUAAAAAUGAUGUUAAUAACCUUGUCAACCACUUUAAACCUGCCUCGCCAGUGCAUUCCAAAAAUCCACUGGAAUCUCGUCUGGCCCCAUCAACCUACGUCGACGCAUCCUGCGAAUAGCCCUCUUGACCUCCUUAACCUCGAUAUGCCUACAAUAACCAUAGUUGUGACACUCCUCAAAUUUCUCCAAGUCCCCAAACACGAAGCCUUUAUCCCCCUUAUCGUUCAAAAAUUUAUAAAAAUAAGACUGGCACUUUUUUAUAAUGAGGGCAUCCUCAACCAACAUAGUACCAUCCUCAACCUUGAUGCACUUAUCCCUGCUAUUCUCCUUUAAAGAUGCAUACAAGCUCUCAAAAUUUGUCAUUUUAUCCACUGUAACCACUAACUUAGCCUCUCACCUAGCUAGAGCUUAUACUCUUCCUUAUUUGUCCGCCUCUCUUGAUUAUUCUUGCUCUUGACCAAUUUAGCAUAAGCCACCUUUUUAGACUCCACCUUCCUCUUAAUCUCCUCAUUCUACCACUAGUACCCUCGAUGUUUACAAAAUUGACCUCUCAAGACACUAACACCUCUCUAGCGAUCUCCCUAAUGCAACUAGAAAUCGUCUCCCACAUACUAUCCACAUCCCCUCUACUUUUUCAAGCCCCCUGCUUCUCAACUUCUCCCCCAUCUUCAAAGAAUUAGCUAAAGUCAAACUACCCCACUUAAUCUUAGGUCGAACCUCCAUACUCCUCUUCUUUCAGCCCUUAUUGAUUACUAAGUUCAUCACCAACAACCUAUGUUUAGUCAAAAGAUUAUCUCUAUGUAUGACUUUACAAUCUUUACAUAGUUUUCUAUCACUCUUCAUAAGGAGCUAAAAGUCUAUCUGAGUCUUGGACACUGAAAUACAAAACAUUUCAAAAAUCUCAAAUUCGCUAUCCACAACCCAAAAGACCUAGAAAAAUCUAAAAGAGAAGCACUUUCUUUAUUUCUCUACCCUAAAUCAAAAUCUCCAUGCACGUCAUCAUAACCUCUCGACGAAGACACAAUAUGCCCAUUGAAGUCUCCGCUCACGAAACGUUUCUCAGUGCUUGGGACGCCCCUCACCAUCUCAUUCAAAACCUCCAAAAGCCCUUUUUUUCUUCCUCGUCCAAACCUAAUUGCAGAGCAUAAACACUAAUAACAUUCACCGUAGUUCCUCCUAUGACCAACUUAACAGACAUUAGUCUAUCACUGACUCUUUUAACCUUUACCACCUGCUCCUUAAGUUCUUCAUCUACUAAGAUACCUACCCAAUUUCUAUAUCUCAUGCUACUCGAGUACCAUAACUUAUAUACAUCCACAUCUCUCACCUUAGUGCCUACCAUUUAGUUUCCUGGACACACGCUAUCGAACCCUCCAUUUUCCAAGAAUCUUCAUCAGCUCUAUAGACUUAUCUUGAAGCAUCUCUAUGUUCCAGGACCCAACUUUCAACCUAUAAGCACCCUUAUCCAACUUAGACCUACUAUCCCUCGCCCUCAACCCAAGACUAGAACGUAGACUCGACCCCAACCCCAACCUCGACCUAUGACAUGACCCUAGUCCAUCAUCUAUCUCCCCAACCACCACUCAAAAAGAUACGAUAGAAGAAAAUGAACAAAAAAAAGCUGAAAACCACGAUGAGCAUAAGGGUAUGACUAAAAACAGCUAAAUCAGCAAACAAAAACUAGUAAGCAGGAUUGAUACUCACAAGCAACAACAAUUACUAUACUACUCACAAGCUACUAACACCUACUAAGUUACGGAGAAACCAUAACCAAUAAUCCUAUAGGAAUAAUUAAAAACUCAGGCAAGAAAUUAGGAUAGAAAAAGACACAAGAAGCAUAUACCAAAUAAACUAGAGAAGACUGAAAUGAGUGCACCUGAUACUGGGAGAAGACACAGUGAAAGAUGUUUUCCUGAUUGUUGUGUCGAAUUUCAGCACAUUGGUGCAGAAAUUGAUCGUCAGAAUUUGUUGUCACCACCUUUACCCUACUGCUGGACCGUAUCCCUGUACUUAGUCACCGGAGAAUGUGCUGGACGUCGAAAAAAUAAGCUAGACACCGAAAUCUUGAUGUCUCCUCCUGAAGUACGGGUUUGAACUUGGAGUACCUGAAAAGAUUUAUAAAGAAAAUAAAAGAGAAGAAAAGAAAAGCAACGAUCAAAUUGUAAAAAAUUGACGUCACUCACCAAAAAUUGAUGUGGUUGUUGGGCCUCAGAGAUAGGCCGUCGAAAAAGCCGCUAUCAUUUUAGUGGUCGGCACAAGAAGUGAGAGAGAAAAACACGAUGAUUGCGCCAAAAUCUGAUGGGAUCGCUGAAACUGAUAGGGUCGUUGGGACGUGUUUAUGGUAGCCGACAGAAGUAAUUUAAUUUCGUCGGCGCCGUCGAUUGAAUAAAUGGAAGAUUCUAAACCCUCAGCAUAUAUGACAACUAUUAAUGUCAUCAAUUUAACUUGAGAUGCCUAUUCAAUAAAAUAACAUGACAACAUUUUAAUAAUUAUAGUUCAAUGCUGAUUAAAAAUAGAAAAAUAUUGAUUUUAAUGAAUUUAUGGGUACAAAAUUUCUCAGUUUAUUAUUUUAUUUUCACCUAUUUCAUGUGACAAGAGUUGCAAAAUUCAUUUUUUCAUCUAAUACAACAAAGUAUUUCAAUCACUUCAAGUAUAUAUAAAAAUAGUUACAACAUUAAUUUAGACCCUUUACACAAACUAACUUAAUCAUGAUCUAUAAGGAUAUUGAAUAAUAAUUAAAUUACAUUAACGAUUAUUCCAUUCGGUCCAUUUACUUAUCGUGUUAAUUUUUUAAACACCCUUUAAAAAUAUUCUAUUCAUUCUUCUCUAAUUAUUGAUUUAUCCUUUUUCAUGUUAGCUAAGAAAAAUAUGUAAGGCAUUGUACUAUUUAUUAUUGAUUAAGUUAUCCUAUUUAAUACUCCCUCCGUUUCACAAUAAGUGAAUUAUUGGAGUAAUUUUAGUGUUUCAAAAUAAGUGAAUGAUUCACAAUUCAAGGUAGAUNNNNNNNNNNNNNNNNNNNNNNNNNNNNNNNNNNNNNNNNNNACAAAAAGAAUAAAGACAAAAAUAAAAAUAUUUAGCAAAAGAACAUCAUCAAUCCUUGUGAGGACUACCGAAAAUUGAUAUCCUCCCUUAUAUAUAAUAGUAAAUUGUAUUCUUUUUUCAUAUUGCUAACACUGUUUGCAAUAAAGAUUAUAGUGACAGAAACAAAUUCAGUCACAAUGCAAAUAAAAUAUGAAAAAAUAAGAAUUUUAUUGAUAAAUGAUAUGGAUAUAAUUCUGUUACUCCCUUGAUUCUUCUUUCUUUAUUUUUCUCCAUAAUUCUAGGACCAUUAGUAGCGUAUUUCUCGAAAGUAGAAAGAUUUAAAUUUGAUAUGAUUUUUUAGCGUAUUUCCCGAAUGUAAAAAGAUUUGAAUUUGAUAUGAUUUUUUUUUUGUAAUUCAAGGGUCGUUAGUAGCGUAUUUCUUGAAUAUAAGAAGAUUUAGAUUUGAUAUGGAUUUUCUUCGUAAUUCGAAGGCCGUUAAUAACAUAUUUCUUGAACGUAGAAAUAUUUGAAUUUGAUCUCCAUAAAAGAAGGGUUUAUGGAUCUUCUUGAUAUAUUUGAUUAUCAAAAAGAGAGUGAUAUUCAAUGAGUUUAUGAAAUUAUCGGGAGAUGAUAAAUCUCUUUAUUAAGGGCUUAGAGUAGAGUAGCCACCAAGUUAGGUUUAGCAUAAAGUAACCGCUAAUAACUCUAACAAAAAUUGAUUUUUUAUUAUAGAGUUCACAAAAUUAUGAUGUCUAUAAACGCUUUGUAUUGUCAGACAUUAUGACAACAAAAUCCUUUGCUGAAAUGUCAAAAUACAAUUAUUUUUCUUCUUUGAGAUGAUGAAUGAAGUACGUGUUAAUUUAGUGGAGUCACUUAGCUCAAGUCAUUCAUGCGGCAUACCAUGAAAUCAGAAAACUACAUCAAGCUAGGAGAAGAGAGCAAUCACAAAAAUACCAUAUUUAGCAUAUUUUCAUAGCUCAAACUCGUGACCCCCUGAUCAAAUGGAGGGAACUAUCCACAAUAAUUCAGACAAAUACUUCUCAUAGAUAAUCACAAAUGUCCAAGCAAGACUAAAUCUUUUAAGAAUUUUACUACACACAAAGACAAAACCAAAGGGCAGUCCGGUGCACUAAGAUCCCGUUAUGUGUUGGGUCCCAGGAAAAAAUUAGACCACAAAGGUCUAUUAUACACAGUCUUACAACUGUGGACCCCUCUUUCCAUAGCUCGGACCUAUGACCUUCUGGUCAUACGACAACAACUUUACCAGUUAUGACAAGGCUCCUUGUCUUACACAAAACAAAUAACAUUUGUAAAAAUGAAAUCUUUAGCAAUUUUUUAAAAUUCUUUAUACCCAAAUUUCAAAAAUAAGCUAAAAUAUAACACUGAUAACAUAUGGUUAAAUAAAUAAUAAGCAAAAAAUGCAAACUACCCAAAAAAAUUCAGGCAAAUAAAACUUGUAAUGCAUCAAGAUUAAUUUUGGACAAUAGCUUAAAAAUAAUCUCACUUUCUCACAGCUGAAUAAUGAAAUUCCAAUUUUUCCCUUAGCAUUAUGUCACCAUUGAUGAUGGAUACUGUAGCAUUAAGAGACAAUUUCUUUCCUUUUCUGGUAGUUGGUCAGUAUUUGAGCAGUAUCAUCUUCUACAAAAAUGAACAGGAUAAUCACUUUAGCCCCCAAAAGAUCUAGCUAUUACAUAUAGACCCCUUUACCUUAUAAUUUUAGAAUGAUAUUACUCUUCUUGACCUAUUUAAAUGCCCCCAAAGUUGCUCGAAUAAAGAAAAAGAUAAUUCCUUCGUUCGGUUUUACUUGUCACAUUUUAACUUGACAUAUUUACUAAAAAAUAAUUAAUAACAUAUAGUUAUUUUACCAUAAUACCCCUAUUAAAUGAUGUUUAUAUUGUAUCUUAAAAUUAAUUUGGAGAAAAGACAAUUAAUGCUAAGGGUAAAAUAGGAAAAAAGUUGUCUUUUCUUGAUAUGUCAAAAAUGAUAAGUAAAAAUAGAAAUACAAUUAGGAAAUUAGGGACAAGUAAAAGCGAACGGUGGGAGUAACACUGAAAACACAUCAAAAAGAUAUACUUCCUUGGUUGUAUUUUAUGCGGUAUAUUUUGAUCGGGCACAAAGUUUAAGAAGGAAUGACAAUUGUCCUUUAUUAAAAAAUAUAUUACUACUAUCUUUAAUUAAAUGCCACUAAUAAGGAUAAAUGUAAAAUUGUAUCUUUAAAUAGUUACCAAAUAAAGGAAUAUGACAUUCUUUUUCGGAUGGACAAAAAGAAAAUGACAACAUAUAAAAUGGGGCAGAUGAAGUAUGUUAAUACUAAAAGGGCAGCUUGAUGUGGCGGUGGAAGUAUGUUAAUACUAAAAGGGCAGCUCGGUGUACUAAAGCUUCGUGCUAUAAGGGACUGCGGAGAAGGGCUGGACUGCAAGAAUUUUAUUGUGCGCAACAUUAUCUUGCAUUUUAGACAGAGGUUGUUUCUAUGACUUGAACUCGUGACUUCCUAAUCACAUGGCAAUAAUUUUAUCAGUUACUCUAAAAAUCCCCUUCAUAUUUUUUUUCGAUUUCAUAAAAAUAUUAAAGAUAUGCAAAAUAUAAAAGAUACGCAUAUAAUUCUUUUUGCAAACCCACUUAUAUGGAGUAAUAAAAACUUAUAAGGUAUCAAAAAUGAUAUAUGCAUGGGAUUUCCCUUUUGAUUAAAGUUUUAAUAGGUUAAUUUCAUGUAUAAUUGUAGACUUUUACUCAUUAAUGACAAAAUUAUUGAACUUUAACUAUUUAAUAAAGUAGUAGAUUUAAUGACAUUAAAAAUCAUUAGAGUUUUUACUAUGUGUUUAGAUAUAUUGAGUACAAGAAGUGAUAGACAUAUCUCAAACUAAAUCAAUCAAUUAGAAAAACAAUUUCUAUUCCAAUGGAGAAGUUCCUCCAUGUUCACCUUUUGAUUUCAAUUAUUUUCUCAAUUUUUCUUGUAACUUUAUGCAAUGAACAUUAUUUUCCAUCCCUUAACACCACUUAUAUUAUGGAAUAUGUCUAUUGAUCCAACAAAGCUUCCCGAUCCUCCGAUUCCAUACUAUACACUCACCAUUUACAAUCUCUAUUUAUUUGAAAAGUCAAAAUUCAAGGACUAUGACUCGUUACUCGGAAAUAGGUUCGCCGGUCGUCAAGCUAGAGCAAAUAAUUUGGCAUCAGUUCUUGAAAAUGGUUAUGCAAUUAGUGGGAAUGGAACUCUUGUAAGGAUACAUGACGAGCAUGAGAGUAAAGUGGCCAACGAAAAGGUUCCGGUAACAACAAGUACACAUUUCAUAUGUCAGUAUGUUGCAUCUUUUACUCUUUUUUUUGGUUUCCCAUCUGGCAUUCGGUGCCUGCAUUGGAGCCCCGACUAAUCCAGAUCACAUGUUGCAGGGCCUAUUAAGGUGGUAGCACUCCCAACAGAAUUUUCUCCAUACCUAGGGCCGAACCCUGGACCUCUGAUUAAGGGUGGAGCUGCCCCAUCCACUGCACUACAACCUAUAUUGGUGAAUUUUUUACUCACUGAACAAUUUAAAAGUUACUUGCUAAUAGACACUGGUAGUGAUUUAGUUUGGUGGCAAUGUGGACCAUGUAACACUACAACAUUUUAGGCUUUUGGACACACUAAUUCUAGACCACACUUCUAAAGUGUGACCGAUAUCAUUAAAGACCACGCUUUUAAAGCGUAUCCUUUGUUUUUAGCUUUUGACCACAUUAAUUUUGACAACACUUUAAAAGCAUGGUCCUUAAUGGUAUAGGCCAUAGUUUACAAGCGUUGACACCAUGAUUUAAUUGGCAAUACGUAUUCACAAAUAUGACUACACUUUUAAAUGUGGUAUUAUUAUAAUUUAAGAGACAAUACUUUUAAAAUAUUGCCUAAGAUUUUUAUUGAAAUAUUUCACUAUUCCACCAAAUUAUUUCACUCUUCUACCCAAAUAUUUCACUCUCCCUCCAAAUAGUUCUAGGGUUACAAGAAAAUACAGAUUAAGGGCAAAAUUAUUUUUGGCCAAAAAUAUGGGUUGCAAGAAAACACAAAUUACGGAUAAAAUUAUUGGUUCCUCAACUCAAAGUCUCAAUUGUUGCAUCUAAGAUAGAGGAAUAAGAUUAAAGACUGUCGUCGGUGAGGAAGAGACAUCCUUACUCCCGUAAGGAGAAGGGGUCGGUGCUUAUCGUCCACCAGAAGGAUAUGUUAAUUUCUUUAUUCAUUUCCCAAUUUAGCUCAUAAUCUUACUGUAUUUUGUAACCAUUUCUUUUGUGGGGUUAUUGAUUUAGUUCAUUGUCUUACUCUGUUUUUGCUUCUUGUUUGCUGUUCUUGUAGCCAUUUCUGUUAUAGGGUUCUUUAUUUAGCUCAUAUAUUACAAUAUUUUUUCUUCUUGUUUGUUGUUCUUGCAGUCAUUUCUGUUGUGGGGUUCUUGAUUUAGUUCAUAUCUUACACAAUCGAAAGAGGCUUUAUAGCUAUUGGUACUGCAGGUGAUGAUUUUUUGAUAAAUAAUAUUUUUUUAAAUUUUAUGCUAAAUUUUUUCAUCUUGAAUAUGUUUUUUUUUUGUCAAUUUCAUUCUAAGUUUAAUGAUCUAUUCUUUAUUGCAUUUGCCGAUGUUUUAGUGCUGAUUUUCCCAUUUGGGGUUGUUUUAUUUUCAGUUAAAUUUCAAUUCUUGAUAUCCUAGUUGGUAGUUUGAGCAUAUUAGAUAUGUGUUUUAUUUUCCAAAUGGUGAAAUUCUAUAUGAUGAACAAACUGAAGAGGUUAUAGGGUUGUUCUUUAUAUCGAGUUGUUCUAUGUUGCUCAGUUUUACAAUUGCUAGCCUAUCUAGUAGCCUGUUUUGUCAUAUCCCUGGGCUAGGUCGUCAUCUAAUUUGGAGCCUUCAACGAUAGCUUGUGUCAUCUACAGGUCUUCACUCUAGUUUAUAUUCUCAGGUCCCUCUCUUAUAUCUCCAUUAUCUAUUACUUGGUUCCUCAUAUUAAGAUUGUAGUUGAAAAGAACAUUUCAUAAUCAAGAGAAUAUCUCUUCAUUUUUUGGAAGAGAUGAUCUAAACACACUAAAAUUAACAAACAAUAAAACUUAGUUUCACAAUCUUGUUUCUCUCAGUAAGUAAUAUGCUCAGAACUUGCGAGGAAGAUUCAUUCUUGGGAUGAUCAAAUAGCGAAAGACAAGGCUUCCCUUGAUGUCUACUCUCUCACACUCCAUCGCAACUUGAAACAAGGAAACACGUCCAAGUUAGUGUAUCUAGUUUUCUUUUUGCUGAAGCGCCUAUUUAAUUCUUGAAAAACAACUUAUACUUCAAGCCUUUACAGUUAAAGAACCAACACUGGUUAUUUCUCCUGGAAUAAAUAUUUGAACGUCAAUGCAAGAAGACUACCUGCAUCUAGAAAUUUAGAAUAUCUUUUGAUGUACGUAUUGACUUGGAUUAUAAGUUGGCAUCAAAUCCUAUUUUUUAUGUGCAGUGUCGUAGAAGCAAAAAAUAUGAAAUCUCAUGCCUUGUCCUCUUACUCCAUCUCAGUAUCAGGAUUGAGAUUCCCUUCGUAUAUCAGCUGUGAUGAAAAAAAUAUAGGUAAAACAUAAAGGAGUUUUAAAUUUAGUAGUCGAGUCUGUUUCAAAAUAAUUGCUAAUAUAACAAUUAUUGUUGCCUUAUUGUGUUCCAAUUUCAUCCUCCGAUAUUGUUCUUGUGUUUACUUUGAUCGAAACAUGGAUUGAACUCGCACAACAAAUCUUUCGAUACACUCUUCAGCUUUUUUCCUACUGGCUUGGAAGAAAUCCUCCUCCAUAUCAUCGGGUUUGUGAUUAACUACUUGACUAGACAGGAGUUGAAGCUCAUGAAGCCUUUUUUCUUCAAACACCAAUGAAAUAUUGCCUUUUCAAGCACCCUGACCAAAUUAUCUCCAGGUAAUGCCUUCGGACAUGGAAACCACUGAACACAGCCCGCAUGACCAGAGGCAGGUUCCAUUAAUAAUGGAUCAUGUUAUUCUGUCAGUUUUAUGGAAAAGUCAAAGAGUAAUUAGGAAAACUUGCUAAGUUAUCAUUCUUGUAAGAACUUCUCAAUCAUAUUAAUUCAUGUUUGUUGUAGAUGUAUAUCAUUAAUUCUUUUAGUUCCAUGUCAAUUCAUUUACACAGCAGUUAACUCAAAUAAUUUCACCGGUGAGAUCCCACCAAUUCAUGAUAAUCUGUCAAAACUCUACUGGCUUGAUCUAGCAGAUAAUCAGUUAAUCGGAUCGAUUCCCGUUUUAACCUCCUCAAGUUCGGGAUUGUAUCUUCUGAAGAAAGAAGAACACUUGCGAGUAAACUUUAUCUAUUCGUAUUACAUGCUAUCCUUUUCAACUGAUAGGAAAUCAAAUAAAUGUUGUUUUCCAAUAAUGAUGUAGCUGCUUGAUGGAAAUUGUACAUUAGUUGGUGUUAUGCAAAUAACUUUUGUUCAUAUUACUCCAAUGUGGUUAACUGGUAUCGUCACUGUUGCAGAUAUAUUAAAAUUGUAUUUUUCAUCUGUGUUCUUGUUACUUUGAGCUUUAAAAAUAUUCUGUAGUACUUUUCUUUUGGUGCACCUGUGUAGUUUCUUUUUGUAUAGACUAUGGAGGAUAGGGUGUCCUUUUGUAUGAAGCUCAGAAACACCCUCUAUACCUCCAUGGAUUGAUGCUCUUCGGUCCCAAGUUGUAGCUGCUAACGUUAAAUUGCUUGCAUUGUAUGGUGUAAUCCCCCUACUUCUCAAUUGACAUUAACAUAUAAAAUCUCCUCAUUUUUAAGCUCGUAAAGUAACAAGAGUAAGUUAAAUAAUUCGUGCAAGAAUAUCAACACACAUUCACACUUUGUUGACAUUCUAUAUACACUUUUUUAAACAUCAAAUUAAGUUGCUUUGGUUUCUUUUUUCCUCCAAGCCUGUGCAGCAAAUAUUAUAGCUUUUCUUUAAAGAAAAUAUCAAAGAAAGGGAAGCUAGCAUUUUAUAAUUAACAUUAGUAUAUUAGCGUUUCAGAAUAGUGAAAUAACACGUAGUAAUAGACUUUGAACCAAUUUGAUAGAUGAGCACUUUGGUACGUUAUUCAAUUUCAAAAGUCAAAUAUUUGUUAAUGAACUUAAUAUUUAGCAUCUCACAAUGUGUUGUACUUUAUCAAAAAUAUUAUUACAAUUAUGAAAUAAGUUCCAAAUUGGCAGUAAAUGAAAUCCCUUCAUGAUUUUUGACAGGUUUAAAAAAUCCAAUUAGUAAUAGAAUUUCUAGAAACAUUUCGUCGGCGUAAGUUAGGUUUCUCUUCACAGCUUACUGUCUUGCAGGUUCUAGUGCAACAUGUUCGUGGACUUCCUCUUUUUUGCAAAGACAAACCCGAGCAUCUUUCAAAAAUUGUUUAAAUACUUGUAUAACUCUUGACUUCUGGUAUAGAAAUCUCUUAGUCUUUCCAUCAAGAAAUGUUGAUUAUGAGAAAGGAUAUGUGAUCUUGACUUCUUUUUCUGCUUUUACAGUGGAAAAUAUGGCACGUGAUACAGUAAACAAAGCCCUUUUGUCCUUGUUAAGGCAAGACAUAAAAGGUUUGUUGAUUCUUUCCUAAUGACAUUGAGACCAUACACAUAGGAACUAUCUAUAAAUAUAUUCAUCUUAAAUUGAGUUAAGAAAUUAAAUUACUGAACUGAUCAAACUGCUAUUUCUUUCCUCUUCUGGAAGCUAUUUAAUGUUUCCUAGUAUCACUCUCUAAGAAAAAAGGUAGAACGAUAGAUACAUUAAAACCUAGUUAAGACAAGAAGCUCAUCCCUCGUGGGUCACCUAACAUGUUUCAUUACCUACAUUGGAUAAAUCAGCAAAUUUAUUAAUGCAGUGCACAUUUUAUCUUGCAUUUGAUGCACCGUUAUGCAUUAGCAAGCAUGCUCUUUUGUUCAAUGCCUGGCAGCUGUAUACCAGGGUUUUGCAGUAAUUGAUAUGCCAUAUUAAAAUACCUCUUCUUAUUUCAAUUAUCUGAAGUAGGAAUUAUGCUAAUCAAAUCCUUUUAGGACAAUAUUCUAUUGUCCCAAUUUAUAAUCAACUUUAACAAGAGCUCAAGUGUAGCUAUGUGGAUAUAUCAACUACAGAAAAAUAUUUAUACUUUAGUAUGACACUGCUGAAGGACGUGGUGCACAUUUGUGCUUUCAAAAGAAGGAAGAGAAGAUGUCCCAUAAAAUGUAGGCAUGUAGUUAUAUGGGUACUUUCGAUAGAAAUAAAUAAGAGAAAAUUUGAAGGACUAAAGAAUGAUUUUUUAAUUUAAUAUUCUACAAAGAAAAGGGGCUACCCUGAGAAACAGAAAAUCAGUUGGAACAAAAACUAAGUAGAAAAGAAAAUUAGAGACACAAUAACUCACCAGAUUACGGAGCGAAAAGAGGAAGAACAGGUAAGAUAAAUGAAAAGUGCUUGCGAAAAACAUAAAAGUGAAGCACCUUAUAUAUGGCAUUCAGCUGUGCAUGCAUCUUUUCUUGGAUUGGAACUAGUGGUGAUAUUGAUCCAUUACCAUGAUAUGUUCAUUCUUUUUCUGUUGUUUCACUUGUGUCUCUAUGUUACCUGUAGGGUGGGAUUCAUUACUGUGAUCUUGAUCCAUUACUGUGAUAUGUUCAUUCUUUUCCUAUUGUUUCACCUAUGUCUCCAUGUUACCUUCCAUAUUCUCCUUGUCAACUACUUGAGAGAAAUAUCUUAAUUUGGUGUGCACAGAGAUAGAAGAACGUCCAGCCUCUAAAUAUAUAGUUUAAGCAAGUAGUGACCAAUAUACAGCUUAAAAUUUUGAUGUGUGUUGAAACCAUUCUUCAGAUUUGAGCAAUUGUGGAUGAUAAACUAAGAGGAUGACUUGUUUUAUUGCAUCAGUAGAUUACUACUUAGUCUAAGUGGAAAAAGCAACCUUGUUUCGUUGCAUCAAUAGAAAACUACUAAGUAAAGUUGACUAGUCCUUUCAACCGAGCUGAAUAUGCAUAUAGAUAGAAGAAAAGGUAUUGACCAUUGGCUACAACACCACUUGACUGGAGUUGUUUCACUGGAUUUGUUGAUGCAGUUGUAUUGACGCAUAGUGAAUUCCGGAAUCUAUCAUGUUAAGAGCGAUUUAUGUAUUGGCAAUGUGAUAUUUAAAGCUUUGUUCAAUGGUAUUUAUGGUCUUUUUUGGGGACGUAUGCUCCUAUUUGGUAGAAAAGGACAUUCUAGGGAUGCAAAUAUUUUUUAGGGUUGUUCCUUAUGUAUUAUUAGUAAGAGAGAACCUUAACAGAGCAAUAGGAUAACACUAUUACCCUCUCUAUUUUAGAAUGGAUUCCCGAGUCUUGAGGAACUGAAAUAAUCUGCUUUGACUUUAGGAGCCUGAUUCAUUCCUAGGAGUAUUAUUGGUAAGAAAGUUCAUUAUUUUUGCCUUGGGACUGAGGGUCUUUCUUUUGAAAUAUAUCUUAUAUAUACUGCAUUAUUUCUUCUCCAGAUAGAUAUUGUUUUAAUUUUUUUACAGUCUAAACUAGAGAAUCAUCACAAUGCUGGGAAAACACCAGAUGAUGCAUUCACGGCAGUGUUUGGAAAGGAUAAACCUGGUCGAGUUAGAGGUUAUGGAAGAUCAGUGACAACAACUUCUCUAAAAGAAGAUGAGGAAAUGAAAAAGCUUAAACAAAAGCAUGCUAAUGAAGUCACUUCUAUGAAGAAGAAAUUAUAAGUGAAAUGAGAGAAAUGCGACAAGUUUUUUAGUCAAUUGGUGCAAAACAAUCCUGGAUUGAAUUUUCAAGAUAUACUAGGGAGUGUAAAAUUUCUUCACCUGAUGCGAGUAAUGCACAAGCUAUAAGAGAAAAAAUUCUUUCAAAUUAUUUUGGCUUAGCUCAUGCUUCGGUUCAUGAAAAGGUACUUUAUCUUAGAAAUUCACAAGAAAUUUAAAUCCUAAACUUUUAACUUUAUUGAAUGAAUUAAAGAAACUUUGGAUUCACAUAUUUCCUCAUAUCAAGAUUGAAAAAAUAUUUGUAUAUUUGUGAGCAUAAUUUUACUUCGUUUGUUUCAGUUUGAACGUAGGAUCAAUGCGGGGGAUCAAAUUUGAAUGGUGGGCGCCACAACUCAACUUGAUCGAGAUUGAAGUGAAUGAUGAAGAAUUUUGAAAUAUUUUGAUAUACGUUUAUAUACAUUUGGUUUUGUGUGGAAGUUGAUACAAUUUUUAUUAUGUUGUUUUCAUUAGUAUGUAAAAGACAUGUUUUUUUAAAUCAAAUCUAUGCACUUCAAUUAUUCAUUAGGUUAUUAGUGCAUGCGUGAGAUUGUAUAUAAAUAUGUAUUUUUAUGUAAUGUGCUUAGUGAUACAUACAUUUCGAUCAAAAUAAUUGUUUUUUAAUUAGAGAUUACGUACGAACAUUUUAUAUGCCUAAUGCCAUUUUAGUAAAAUGUGGUUUGAAAUGUCAAAUUUUAGGCAAUAUUGCUACACUUCAAAAGUGUUGCUAAAACAUGCUUACACUUUAUAAGUGUUGUCAUAGAGGAUAUAUAAAAGGCUAUUUUUUUGAAGUGUGGCUAGUAAUAAAGAAAAGGCCACGUUUUUUAAGUGUUGUUAUAGAGGUGCUACAAAAGCGUACGCUUGUGAAGCGUGCCCAAUAGUAAAACAAAGACAACGUUUUGUAAGUGUUAUUAUAGAGGUGCUACAAAAGGCUACGCUUGUGAAGCAAGCCCAAUAGCAAAACAAAUGCAACACUUGUAAGUAGCUUUAUCAAAUAAAAGUGUUGCCAAUGACAAGCUACAAAUCAUGGCCUUUGUACCUUAAUGGCCACGCUUUUUAAAUGUAGCUGAUAUGGCAACACUUGAAAAACAUGGCCUUUGAUCAAAGGUUACACCUCUUUAAGCCACCCCCUAAAAAGUGUUGCCUAAAGUCUGAAAGUGUAGCCUUUGAUCAAAGGCCACACUUCCUACUAUUUUAGGCCACGUUUUACAAGUGUGGCCUUAGGCCAAAAACGUUGUAGUAUAAUGCAAAUGUAUGUUACAAACAGAUAAAUAAUCCUUUAUAUGUUUCAACUAAUUCAAAAACAUAUCGAAAGCUCGAUUGCCUUGUAGAAAGUAGAAACUGUGAAAUCACGAAUAAGGAAUAUGAUUGUAGUAGUAUGGUAAUACGUGUCUGUAUGAUUACAAAUACGUCAAUGGAUCAAGAACAAGAGGCUGGAUUGCACACGACGUGAUUACUUUUGUUUUAGCCCGAAAGCAGGUAAGCAUUGUUUUUGGAUGUGGCAAAAAUCAAACUCAUGGAAAGCCUUUUAGUGGUCAAUUUUCUGGAAUUGCGGGCCCCGGACGUAAUCGGUGGUGGCAAUUAUUUUGCAUCACAAUUUGAAGUAGACAUAAUGUCCAUGUGCCUACCGGGAGCUCUCUCAACAAAAGGAUCAACACUAUUACAAGAUUUCAGAUUCCCUUCCAUUUACUUUGUCAACCUUUAUAAAGUUUUUAUUAACGAUAGGGAAGUCCCGUUGUUCCCAUCAUUGUCUAGGAAAUUCAGAACUUAUGCCACGAGUGAUAGCUGCAUCGUGGACAAAGGAACAUUUACUACCCGUUUUCCUCAUGAAUUUUAUAUUGUAUUUUGUUACACAUUCAGAUAAAAAGUAUGUGGUAUUCCUAUGGUUAAUGUUCCACCUGGAUCAGUUUAUGGCACAUGCUAUAAAGUUCAUACGACUAGUCUGGAUCCACAUUUCCCCGUUGUGACCAACCAAAUGGCCCCUUCAACCCCAACAACCCGCACUCCCUUUUGCCUCAGCCUGCCUGGGAGCACUUGGUCAAUUUUCUGCCCAUAACAUACUUGUUCACUGGGCCCACCCCCAGAACUGUGAGCUAUAACACACUGAUUUAGCCCAAGAAUGGCCCAUUUGGGUUGUUUCACUUGUUUAACCACCCAAAUAGCCUAGCUAACCCCAAUGACCCACACUAUCCCACUUUUGAGCCUACCUUGGUGCCUCUGAUCGAUUUUAAGACCAAAACACGCUCGAGCCCCAAGCCAACCCCUAAAACCAUGAGUUAUAGCAUGUCUAUUUGGCCCCAAAAAUAGCAUGUUUUGACAUUUUGUCUGUUUGAUCACCCAAAUGGCCCCGCCGACCCAAACGACCCACUAUCCCGUUCAUCAAUCUACUUGGAAGACUUGAUCGAUUUUCAACCAAAAACACUCCCGAACCCCGGGCCCACCCAGAACUGUGAGCUAUAGCACACCGAUUAUGCCUUAAAAUGACCCAUUCGCGUUGAUAUUGCUGUUUGACCACCCAAAAAACCCUGUUGACCCGUGCGACCAAUACUUCCCCGCUCUUCACCUUACCUGAGAUCCCUCAAUUAAUUUUUUACCCAAAACAUGCCCUGGACCAGCCCAAAAUCAUGAGCUAUAGCUCACUAAUUUGGCCCAAAAAUGGCUCGGUUGCGCCGUUUUGCUCGUUUGACCAACCAAAUAGUCCCGCCGACCUCAAUGACCCAUAAUUCCCCGCUCCUCGUCCUUCUUAGGAGCCCUCAAUAGAUUUUUAAUCCAAAACAUGCUUGGGCCCUAGGAUAACCCCUAGAAUUGUGAGCUAUAACACACCGAUUUGGCCCAAAAAUAGCCCGUUCGCAUCAUUUUGCCUAUUUAAUAACCCAAAUGGCCCCGCCGACCCCAACGGCCCACACUCCCUAAUUUUCAGCCUACCUGGGAGCCGCGAUCAAUUUUCAGUCAAAAAAAUUCAUGGGCCUUGGGAACACCCUCUUAACCGUGAGGUAUAACACCCCAAUUUUGCCAAAACAUAGCCCAUUCGCACUGUUUUAUCCGUUUGAUCACACAAAUGGCCCAUCGCCACCCAAUGGUCCAUACUCUUCUGCUUAUUAGCCUGCCUAGGAUCCUCUGGUCUAUUUUCAGCCUAAAACAAGCCUACGCCCUGGGCCCACGCCCGGAAUCGUGAGGUAUAACAUACUAAUUUAGCCCAAAAAUGGCCCGUUUAUGCUGAUUCACCCUUUUGACCCCCCAAAAGGCCCCGUCGACCCCAGCCACCCACACUCUCCUGCUUUUCAGCCUGCCUGAAAGCCCCCAAUAAAUUUUUGACCCAAACCACGCCCGUUCCCUUCACUCAACUUCAAAAUCAUGGCUACACCACACCGAUUUUUCUCAGAAAUGGUCCGUUCGCGCCCUUUUGCCUAUUUGACCAACCAAAUAGCCCUACCGACCACCGCCGACCCCAACGACCCAUACACCCCUAUUCCACAGUAUGCCUGGGAUCCUUUGGUCAAUUUUCAGCCUAAAACAUGUCUGGGCGCCAGGAUCACCUCUGAAACCGUGAGCUAUAGCACACCAAUUUGGCUAAAAAAUGGUUCGUUUGUGCUGUUUCACUCGGUUUACCACUCAAAUGUCCCCGCCAACCCCAACGAGCCACACUUCCCUGCUUCUCAGCCUACCUAAGAUCCUCGAUUAAUUUUUUUCCCAAAACAUGCCCGAGCCCUAGGCCUACUCUCAAAACUAUGAGCUAUAACACAUCGAUUUGGCCUAAAAAUGCUUUAUUUGCACCAUUCAGCUCGUUUGACCACUCAUACAGCCUCAUUGAACCCAAUGACCCACAUUUUCCCACUCUUCUUCCUGUCUGGGAGCCCCUGAGCAAAUUUUGAUCUAAAAUAGGCUCGAGCCCCAAGUGCACCUUCAAAACUGUGAGCUAUAGCUUACUGAUUUAGCCAGCAAAUUACUCGUUAGUGCCGUUUCGCCUAUUUGACCACCCAAACAGCCCUGUUGACCCCAAUAGAUGAUACUCUCUCACUUCUCAUCCUGUCUGGGAGCCCUCUCUUCAUUUUUGAUCCAAAACACGUCUGGGCCUUGGGCCCACCCCAAGAAUCGUCAGCUAUGACACACUGAUUUGGCUUGAAAAUGGUCUGUUCGCAUUGUUUAGCCUGUUUGACCACCCAAACAGCCCUGCCGACUCCAACGACCCACUCUCUCCCACUUCUCAGCCUGCCUGGGAUCCCUCAAUUUAUUUUCAAUCCAAAACAUUUUUGGGUCCCAAGCCCACCCCCAAAAUCGUGAGAUAUAACACGAUGAUUUGGCCAAAAAAUGGUCUAUUUUCCGUCAUUUCAUCUCGUUUGACCACCCAAACGGUCCCUCCAACCCAUAAGGUCCAUACUCCCUCGCUCUUCAGCCUUUUUGGGAGCCUACAGUCCAUUUUCAGCCCAAAACCCGCUUAGACCCUGGGCCUAACUCCAAAACCAUGAGUUAUAGCACGCCGAUGCACAAGGAUUUCGUUAUGUGUUCAGUCCCGCUUAUAUUUCUUCGGCCUACCUCUACCCCACCUAAAACCAUCCAUAACCAGUAUUUCACACCUCUACACUGAAGAAUCAGAGCCCCUAUUCAUCACAUGGCCAAACAAAUGUAACCUCACAUCUCAUAUGUUGUCCUCCACCGAAGCAACUCUCACCUUCUCUAGAAUAAUUUCAUUCCUUACCUUAUCUUUCUUGGUAUGUCCACACAUCCAUCGCAAUAUUCUUAUCUCUCCCACCUUCAAUUUUUAGAUAUGGGAGUUCUUAACUGGCCAACACACCGCUACGUACAACAUAGCCGGCCGGACUACCACUCUGUUGAACUUACCUUUAAGUUUCGAGGGCACCUUCUAAACACAUAGAACUCCUGAAGCGAGCCUUCUUUUCAGCCACCCUGCCCCAAUAUGAUACGUUAUAUCUUCGUUAAUCUCAUCAUUGCCCUGAAUCAUAGACUCUAGAUACUUGAAACUCUCCCUCUUAUGAAUGUCUUGAGAGUCCAUCUUCACAACCACUCCAGCCUCCUUCGACACAUCAAUGAACUUAUACUCCAAGUACUCUGUCUUGGUUCUAUUUAAUCAAAAUCCUUUAGACUGAAGCGUCUGUCUCCAAAUGUCCAACUUAUCAUUAACUUCUCUCCGAGUCUCAUCAAUCGGUACCACAUCAUCUGCAAAUAACAUACACCAAGGCACCUUUUUCUUGAAUAUGUCACGUCAAAACAUCCAUCACCAAGGCAAAUAAAAAUGGGCUAAAAGUCUAUCUCUUGUGCAACACUAUCAAAACUGGGAAGUUCUCCGAAUCUCCAUCUACCAUCCUCACACGAGUCUAAUUCCUAUCAUCCAUAUCCUGAAUCAACCUAGUGUAUGCCACAGGCCUCCCCCUAGCCUCUAAGCACCUCCAUAGAAUCUACGUGGAAACUCUGUUAUAUGUCUUCUCAAGAUCAAUAAACACCAUGUGCAAGUCCUUCUUCCUCUCCCAACACUACUCCACUAAUCUCCUCACAAGGUGAAUGGUCUUAGUGGUCGAGCGCCCUGGCAUGAAACAGAUUCUCAGAGAUCGUCACGAUCCUUAUCAUCCUUAACUUUACCACCCUUUUCCAAACCUUCAUAGUAUGAGUCAAUAACUUAAUACCUCUAUAGUUGUUGCAACUCUGGAUGUCUCUUUUGUUCUUAUACACUAGAAUCGUAGUACUCUACCUCCAUGCUUCAGGCAUCUUCGUCGCCCAAAAAAUACUAUUGAAUAACCUUGUCAACCACUCUAAACCUACGCCGCUAGUGCUCUUCCAAAAAUCCACUAGAAUCUCGUUUGUCCCCAUUCCCCUACCCCGCUGCAUCCUACGAAUAGCUCCCUUGACCUUCCCAACCUUGAUAUGCCUACGAUAACCAUAAUCGCGACACUCCUAAGAUUUCUUCAAUUGCAUUUCAAACACUAAAAGUACUUACUUUAUCAAUUACAGAACUUCUAAUUUCAAAUCUUAAAUUUCAUUUAGUCUCAAUUCAAAGUUAAGUGCAUAAAAUUUAUUAGUUUAUUUUAAAUUUUCAAAUAUUAUUCUAUUGCUCAUUAUUUUUACAAUCAUCAAUUUUAUGAUUAAUAUCUUUAAUUAUUUUAUUUAUACCUCUUAUUGUAUCUGCUAAGUUAAUUUAAUUAAGAUCUCUCAAAUCACUCUCAAAAUCACCAUCCCACCAAAUACUACACCCACCUCCUAGCCUUACCCUACAGCCACCACCCCACCUCCCUAGUUUUUAUUAUAUUUUACUUUAUCAGAUUUUUUGUAAAAUAUUUUUCUCACAUCACCCACCUCUUAUCCCCAAGCCACCCUCCACCAACAAAACAAUAUUUUAUUUUUGUUUAAAAUAAAAUUUUAUAUUGCACCCACCCCUACUCCCCAAUACCUAUUUGACACCCUACCUAAUACACAUACAAAAAAAAUUAUUUUUCACUUUUUUAUAAAAAACAAUCUUUCCACCCUUCUGUCCUGACUCCCAAGAAAAAUAAUUUUUUUUGUCUUUUAAGAAUCUUUUUUUCUACUCCACAACUCUAACCCCUACCUACACCACCACCCCGCCUACCCCACCUACCUAGCUCAUCCCUACCCCUUCUCAACCACCAUAAUCUCUUGUUAUUCCCCUCAUCCAUCACUUUUCCUCAAUGCAAUUUAUAAUUUUAUGUUAAGUACACACAAAUGCUAUUAGAAAAUAUCUUCUAUUUAUUAAUAAAAUAUCAAUUAUCAAUUUAUUUUAGCAUACAUGCUAUUACUAAUAUCAAAUAAUCACAUCAAAUAAAAUUAUCUAAGAAAAGAUUAACCAAGAGCUAUAGCCGAGAAGAGAGUCUCUCAACUUUCUUUGGAUACUUCAGAAGACUUUGCUGCUAUGGAGGCAUUAGUGGUACAUUUUAUUAUUUUUUAGUUAUCAAAAAAACCCUACCUUCUAGAUCCCAUGAUAAAAGAUGAGGUAUAUGAUAUUGGACUCCCAUCUCAAUCAGUAGGAAAGGGCCCAAAAUCUCUCACCUUUUCUUUUAUGAUGAUCUAACUCUGUGUGCUGUUGCGAAUGAAAGAAACUGUGAAACUAUCCGAGCCACACUUAGGAGCUUCACCUUCCACCCUGUCCUAAAAAUUAACACUCUCAAAGCUAAAGUAAUCUUCUCUAGAAACUGUGCUCAGGUGACCAAAGAUAGUUUAUCACACAUCUUAGGCAUCAAAUCCAAAGACAAGUUUAGCAAAUAUCAUGGUUUUCCCAUCUUCCACAAAAAACCUUGCAAUAGAGAUUUCUAAUUUAUCCUAGACAAUCUCAACACUAAGUUUGCUGGAUGGAAAACCAAAUUCCUCAAUAUGGCUGGAAGAACAACCCUUACCAAGUCCUCCCUUUCUAGUAUUCCCGCUCAUGUCAUGUAAUUCAUCUUGAUCCCCUCUAAAAUCCACUAAUUGAUUGAAAGAACCAAAAAGAACUUUUUCUGGGGCACCACCCCUAAUAAUAAGAAAGUACAUCUAAUCAAUUGGGAAACCUUGACUAAUUCUAAAGCUAAUGGGGGCCUGGGCCUCCAGAAAGCUUCUAUUAGGAACAACACUAUGUUAUCCAGUCUAGCCUGGAGACUUUACAAGCAUCCCAAUAGUCUCUGGGAAAAAAUUCUUUAAAAUAAAUUAGCCCCUAUGGUAUAUCCCUUAAAGUCGACAACUUUAGAACUUGGAAAAGUGUCCUUGUGAGUUGGGAAAUUUGUAAAACUGCCUCCUCUUAGAACAUCCAUAAGGAUGACAAGAUCAAUUUCUAGAAGGACAGAUGGAUGCCUCACUGUGAACUCCUUCUGUCAAUCAUCCAAGCCCUUCUUCCUUAUGAUUCCCAAGACAUUAACUCUCUGGGGUGUAGAAGAAUUGCUCCUGUAACCUCAAGGAUCUUCCGAUUGAAAUCCCUGAGGAUCUCAUUAAAACUUUCACCAACUUUGUUUUCCCCAAUCCCAGAGCAUAUACUAAUGAGCUCAUUUGGAAUCUCAUUUGUAAUUGUUUGUUCUCCAGUAGAACUGCUUAUAAUCAUAUAGCCAAAAACUCUGAGAUCAAUUACUCCUCUAAUUUCAACUAGAUAUGGAAGGAUAAAUCCCCUAAAAAGUCAAAACCUUUCUUUGGCUAAGCCUGUAUGAUAGGUUCCCCAAUAACCUCAACCUGUCCGUGAGAGGAGUGAGACAAAAUACUAGUUGUGCUAUCUGCAAUCAAAACCAGGAAGACAAAUCCCACAUUUUCUUUAAGUGUCCCAUCCUCAAAGAUUUUGGAGUGAAAAUUAUCCACAAGAUGACCCAGUCCAAACAACCUCCUAUUACCAGUCUCCUACUCUCUUACUGGCACACUAUCUGGAGAUCUCUUCAACACUCCUAAUUCAACAAACUAAUCCACUGGCAUGACAUCAUUCUUUUCAGCCUCUAGACAAUCUGGAACACCAGGAACACUAAUACCUUCAAUAACAAAAGGGACCAUCCCAAUUUUAACCAUGCUUACUCCCAAACUGUUGAGUAUAAACAUCUUACUCAAAAGAAUACCCCAAUCAAGCAAAACCAAAUCAUCAACGUUAAGUGGAAUCCUCCCACCAGCCACACCUUCAAGCUCAAUACUGAUAAUUCUUGCCUUAGAAACCUCAGGAAAGGUGGAAUAGGAGGGGUAGUUAGAUCCAGUAAUGGAGGCUAAGUGUUAGGUUUUAACAAAAACUUUCACCGGACUACCAACAACAUGAUAGAACUUAUGGAUCUCAUUGAAGGACUAAAACUGGUAGAGCAAGCUAAUCUUCUCCCUAUUGAAAUUAACAUUGAUUCCUUGGAAGUUAUAUCAAUGUUAACUAACGGGAACCUUCACUAUGAUACUUUGAUUUUGGAAUGCAGGUUAAAAUUAAAAAGGCUAAGGAAUCUGAAAGUUAAGCACUGUUAUAGAGAACAAAAUGGAGUGGUGGAUGCUCUGGCAAAAGAUGGAGCAAGGGCAAGCGGUUUUCAGGAGACUACCCUUUUUGAAGUUCCACCGAUAUGUGCAAAAGAUGCAGUUUGAGCAGACAUCUAAAAAACUUUUUGAGAGAAUAAUUAGCUCUUGCACUGAUGAUUUUAACUAGCCAGGCCAGAACUAUUCCUUUUUAAACCUUGACUAAUCGUCAAAAUUGAAACUUAAACUGCGUUCUCUUUUAUAUUAAUGCAUGUCCUUUCUACCAAAAAAAAUAAUAUUAUUUUGCAUAUUGAAUCAUCGAAAAGAAGAGAUAUUUAUAUCAAUUUAAAUUGAUGGACCUUGAACAUUCACAAAGAAAGAUAAAUUGAAAAAGUUAUAUCAUCCCAGCAUAUCGAAAGAAUGUUAUCAAAUCAAGAAUUAUUUUUUAAAAUGAAAAAUUAAAAAAUGCAGUAAAUAAAUUCACGAAUAAAGCUAAUGAUAGAGAGGUAUAUGUAAGAAAAGCUAAGUGAUAGAAUUUCAUUUAGAUACAAAUUCAUAUAUCACAUAUGUUUAUUAAAAUAAGAUUAAUUUAUUAUUCUUCCUUAUCCUUAUCCUAACAUUUUUCAAAUACAAUAUAUAUUUAAAAUUAAUAUAGAUUUGAGUUGAGAUAACUAUUGAAAUCAAUGAGACAAUACUAAUACUAAUACUAAUACUAAUACUAAUACUAAUACUAAUACUAAUAACAAUAACAACAUUUUAACUAUUUUUACUUUACCACUAUUAGAUUGCACUACUAUUACUAUUACUAUUAUUAUUUGUUCAUUGUUAUUUGAGAUAAAUAUUAAGAUACAUCGUGUAGCUAAAAAAAAACAUUGUGUUCCAUGAUUACUAAUUAAGUACAUCUAAAUUAUAAGUUUAUCUUUGAAAGUAUGUUUUAUUUCCAAUUUAAAUUAAAAAAAAAAUUAUAGAAUAACCAAUAUCUUAGAUGAGCGGUUAAAACCGUCAAUAUAGGUUAGGAUCGUUGGGAUGGCCCGGCCCAGCCUGUAAUUUGAUAGGGCUGGGCAACAAUUUUUAUAGCCCAUUUAAGAAUAGGGCUUUUUAGCCCUUCAUGAAUAAAUCUAUUGACCAGUCGGCUUGAGCAAUAUGGGUUUGGGUGACCCGUGGGUCAAAUAAAAAUAAUUAAAAAAUAAAAUAUAGUACUAAAAUUAUAUUUAAAUAUUAAUUAUAUUUAUAAAAUAUAUAAAUAAUUAACCCAAAAAUAGCCCGUUUAUGCCGAUUCACCCUUUUGACCCCCCAAACGGCCCUGUCAAUCCCAACUACCCUCACUUCCCCGCUCCUCAGCCUUCCCGAGAGCCCCCGAUCAAUUUUCGAUACAAACCACGCCCGGUCCCUUCACUCACCUUCAAAAUUGUGGGCUAUAUCACACCGAUUUUUCUCAGAAAUAAUCCGUUUGUGCCCUUUUUACUAUUUGACCAACCAAAUAGCCCUACCGACCACCACCGACCCCAACGACCUAUACACCUCUGUUCCACAGCAUGCCUGGGAGCCUCUGGUAAAUUUUUAUCCUAAAACAUGCCUGGGCGCUGGGGUCACCUCCGAAACUGUGAGCUAUAGCACACCAAUUUGGACAGAAAAUGGUUCAUUCAUGUCGUAUCACUCGUUUUACCACUCAAAUGGCCUCAUCGACCCUAACGACCCAUACUAUCCCACUCUUCAGACUGCCUAGGACCCCCGAUUAAUGUUUUACCAAAAAUAUGCCCAAUCCCUAGGCCCACUCUCAAAACUAUGAUCUAUAACGUAUCGAUUUGGCCUAAAAAUGCAUCAUUCGCGCCAUUCAGCCCGUUUGACAACUCAAACAGCCCUGUUGAACCCAAUGACCUAUAUUCUCCCACUUCUCUUCCUGCCUGGGAGUCGCCGAUCAAUUUUUGAACUAAAACAAGCUUGAACCCCAAGCCCACCUUCAAAACCGUGAGUUAUAGCUUACCGAUUUGCCAUAAAAUUACCUAUUCAUGCUAUUUCGCCUCUUUGACCACCCAAACAGCCCUAUUGACCCCAAAAGACCACACUCUCUCUCUUAUCAGCCUGUCUGGGAACCCUCACUUGAUAUUUGAUCCAAAACACGUCUAGGCCUCAGUCCCACCCAAGAAUCAUGAGCUAUAACACAUUGAUUUGGCUUGAAAAUGGUCUGUUCGCUUCAUUUAGCCCGUUUGACUACCCAAAUGGCCCCGCCGACCCUAAUGACCCACUUUUCCUCGCUUAUCAACCUGCCUGGGAUCCCUUGAUUGAUUUUCAGUCCAAAACAUUUUCGAGUCCCGAGCCCACCCCCAAAAUCGUGAGCUAUAACACACUGAUUUGGCCCAAAAAUGGUCUAUUUGUGUUGUUUCAUCUCGUUUGACCACACAAACAGCCCAGCCGACCCAAAAGUUCCACACUCCCUCGCUCUUCAGCUUGCCUGGGAGCCCCCAGUCCAUUUUUGGCCCCAAAUAUGCUCGGACCCUGGGUCUACCUCCAAAACCGUGACUUAUAGCACAACGAUGAACUUGGAUUUCGUUAUGUGUUCGGUCCCGCUCAUAUUUCUUCGGUCUACCUUUACCCCGCCUAAAACCAUCCAUAACCAGUAUUUCACACCUCUGCACUGAAGAAUCAUAGCCCCUCUUCAUCACGUGGCCAAACCAACGUAACCUCAUAUUUCGCAUCUUGUCCUCCACCGAAGCAACUGUCACCUUCUCUCGAAUAAUUUCAUUCCUCACCUUAUCUUUCCUGGUAUGUCCACAUAUCCAUCGCAAUAUUCUUAUCUCCUCCACCUUUAAUUUUUAGAUGUGAGAGUUCUUAACUGGCCAACACAUCGCUACGUACAUCAUAGCCGGCCGGACUGCCACUUUGUAGAACUUACCUUUAAGUUUUGAGGGCACCUUCUAAUCACAUAGAACUCCCGAAGACAGCCUUCAUUUCAACCACCCUGCCCCAAUAUAAUGCGUUACAUCCUCGUUAGUCUCAUCAUUGCCCUAAAUCAUAGACUCUAGAUACUUGAAACUCUCCCUCUUAUGAAUGGCCUAAGAGUCCAUCUUCACAACCACUCCAGCCUCCUGCGACACAUCACUGAACUUAUACUUCAAGUACUCUGUCUUGGUUCUACUUCAUCGAAAUCCUUUAGCCUCAAGCGUCUGUCUACAAAUCUCCAACUUAUCAUUAACUUCACUCCGAGUCUCAUCAUCAUCUACAAAUAACAUACACCAAGGAACCUUUUUCUUGAAUAUGUCACAUCAAAACAUCCAUAACCAAGGCAAACAAAAAUGGGCUAAGAGUCUAUCCCGGGUGCAACCCUAUCAAAACAGGAAAGUUCCUUGAGUUUCCACCUACCGUCCUCACACGAGUCUAAUCCCCAUCAUCCAUAUCCUGAAUCAACCUAGUGUACGCCACGGGCCUCCCCCUAGCCUCUAAGCACCUCUACAGAAUCUUCCCGGAAACUCUGUCGUAUUCAUUCUCAUGAUCAAUAAACACCAUGUGCAAGUCUUUCUUCCUCUCCCAAAACUGCUCCACUAAUCUCCUCACAAGGUGAAUGGCUUCAGUGGUCAAGCGCCCUAGCAUGUAACCGAACUGAUUCUCAGAGAUCGUCACGAUCCUUAUCAUCCUCAACUUUACCACCCUUUCCCAAACCUUCAUAGUAUGACUCAACAACUUAAUACCUCUAUAGUUGUUGCAACUCUGGAGGUCUCUCUUUUUCUUAUACACUGAAAUCAUAGUACUCCACCUCCACGCUUCAGGCAUCUUCAUCGCCCUAAAAAUACUAUUAAAUAACCUUGUCAACCACUCCAAACCUACCCCGCUAGUGAUCUUCCAAAAAUCCACUAGAAUCACAUUUGUCCCCGUUGCCUUACCCCGCUACAUCCUGCGAAUAGCUCCCUUGACCUCCCCAACCUUGAUAUACCUACAAUAACCAUAAUUGCGACACUUCUAAGAUUUCUUCAAUUGCAUUUCAAACAGUAAAAGUACUUAAUUGUAUCAAUUAUGGAACUUCUAGUUUCAAAUCUUAAUUUUCAUUUAGUCUCAAUUCAAAAAUUAAGUGCAUAAAAUUUAUUAGUUUAUUUUAAAUUUUCAGAUAUUGUUCUAUUGCUCAUUCAUAUUACAAUGAUCAAUUUUAUGAUUAAUAUCCUUAGUUAUUUUAUUUAUACAACUUGUUGUAUCUACUAAGUUAAUUUAAUUAAGAUCUCUCAAAUCACUCUCAAAAUCACCACCCCACCAAAUACUACACCCACCUCCUAGCCUUAUCCUUCAGCCACCACCCCGCCUCCCUAGUUUUUAUUAUAUUUUAGUUUAUUAGAUUUUUUGUAAAAUAUUUUUCUCACAUCACCAAUCUCUUAUCCCAAAUCCACCCUCCACCAACAAAAAAUAUUUUAUUUUUCUUUAAGAUAAAAUUUUAUAUUGCACCCACCCCUACUCCUUCAUACCCAUUCGACACACUACUUAAUACACACACAAAAAUAAUUACUUUUGAUUUUUUUCUAAAAAAAAAAAUUCCACCCUUCUGUCCUGACUCCCAAGAAAAAUAAUUUUUUUUAUCUUUUAAGAAUCAUUUUUUCUACUCCACAACUCUAACCCCUACCUACACUGCCACCCUACCUACCCCGCCUACCUAGCUCACCCCUACCCCAUCUCAACCACCAUAAUCUCUUGUUAUUCCCCUCAUCCAUCACUUUGCCUCAAUGCAAUUUAUAAUUUUGUGUUAACUAUACACAAGUUCUAUUAGAAAAUAUCUUUUAUUUACUGAUAAAAUAUCAAUUAUCAAUUUAUGUUAGCAUACAUGCUAUUACUAAUGUCAAAUAAUCACAUCAAAUAAAAUUAUCUAUUUUUUAAGCUCAAAAUGAACUAAUAGCUACUAAUUAAUAUUUUUACUAUCCUAAAUUUUUUGUAAAAAUAUUUACCAAAUUAAGUUCAAGCAUUUUAUAUCCCUCCAACAAAUUAUGCUUUUUGUUAUCUAUUGAAAAUAAUUUGAGACGUAGUGGAUUAAUUCAUCAUCAAAAUGAAAUAAAAUAUAUAAGCAUACACCAUUAGAUAUGACGAUGAAAGAAUAUACAAAGAUUAUGAUUAAACAUUCAGCAAUAUAUUUUCAAAGAAAUCUUUCUGAGAAAAUUAACACUUGAAUUCAUAAAAAGAAAUCGUUAUAAUUAACUUUAACAAAUAGGAAAGCAAUUGAAAAAGAUGAUGACAGAGAUAUAUGAUUAUGAUGAUAAAAAAUUGUAGUAAAAAAUAUGAAAGCAAUAGAAAGAGAUGAUGGACUCUGAUACCAUGAUAAUUAAAUGAACCUUGAACCUAACUCAACGUCAAAAGCUAGCACAUGAGGUGAGGAUUGUCCAAGAUCAUAUAAGGAGACUAAGGACUCAUUAAUCCACCGAUGUGGGACUUUCCCCUCCCUCUCCUUGCACGCCAAGACUGGACAUCUGAAGCAUAGGGAAUAUAAGAUGGGGAACUCAACAUUGAAAAUAAUGAAUUGGGUAGACCUGACUCUAAUACCAUGUUGAAGUGUGUGACCAUCUCAUCUAAAAGUUUAACUAUUAGAAAGAGUACACUUUUACUAUUUAAUUAUAUAUUCUCAACAGUUACUUAAUAUGCUAUUUUGGCAUUGAACAAAUGAACUUUACAUGGCAUUACAAACUGAAGCAAGAUACAAAAUUUUUGUUUCAAAUAGUUCAAGAAAGAAUCUUUUUUCCUUUUGAAACAAAGAAAUAGAGUCACAUUUGUUGGCUUGUUUUGUCCCCACAGUUGAACUAAGAGCACUUUGAGUGGAUGCAUUUUCUAUUAUUAAGGAUGUUCAAUAUUGGAAAAGUACUACUCCUUUCAUUUAAAAACGAAUGGUAGACCAAACAACAUAAUAAUUUCAUACAUUAUAUUAACUCCUAAGUAGCUACCAAACCUGAAAUUACUUAUGUCGGAUUCCUACAUAACUCGUUGCUAAGUCAGCUACCAAAUGACCCCUUAAUACCUUCUUUCUUUGUUCAUUGAGAAGACAAAGACCAAUGCAAGCAUAAUUCAAUUUAUCUGUAUAAUAUGUUCAAAACCAAGGUGCAGAAUAAAUACUUUACAUAAAUACAAAACUUCCUAAAUGAGUUUACCCAAUUGAUAUGAACGAUUUGAUUUACUCAGCUCCUGAUUCAUCAAUUGAUGACUAUCGUAUUUUUUCAUGAGAUCUGCCAGGUAGUUUUUUUUAUAACCAGAUUUUUAUAACAAAAAAAAAUGUACCACUACUACCUCUGCAGCAAUAAAAUCUUCUGAAGCAUCCAAUGAAAGUUGAGAGACUCGCUUCUCGUCUAUAGCUUUUGGUGAAUCAAUUGCUGAAAUUGAUGAAAAUUAUUCACCAUCAUUUCAACAUAUUUUGUCAUUUUUCUCAUUUUCAGUUCUCUUUAUAAAAGUCAUUAUUGGAUCUUUUCCCCUAGUAAUUGAAGUGGUUCUAAGAAUGGAGCAAAUUUUUCAGGUGCAGCUUGCGGUGGAAGCUCACAAGUGUCGGCAUUUGCAGGCAACUUAGAAGAUCUAGUUAAGGAUGGACCAACUUCCUUCAAAAUAAACAAGCUUCAAAAUGGAUCAUUUUGACUGAACCUUUUCCCUAUCUAUGUGCAAUGAAUAUGUUGAUAAUAGUAGGUAUCAUAAUCUUGGUCCAACUGUUAGGUUAGAUAGUAACUCAAGAAUCGUUUAUCAAUUCCCCUUUCUUAAGAACCCCAAAAAAUAUAUAACACUAGAACAGAAAAAAGUAAACUUAGACACAACAAAUGUUGAUUGUAUGAGAGGUUAUACAAAGUGAAGUUUUUAUAUAUAAUCAAAUUUAGGACCAAAAUUGGGAAAAAAAUUGAUUGACAUGAAUAAAUACUUCAAAUUGUAAUCUCCACUUGGAUUCACUCACAUUUAUUGCGUUUUUCUCAAAUUUUGGGUUUAAAAUCCUUCAGUUUUUUCAACGUGUUUGUGCUUUUCUCAGGUAUUGUUACUUGAACAAUUAUGUUAUUUUGGCCUUGAACUAAUGAACUCUAUGUGGCAUGAUAAACUGAAGAAUGACACAAAACUUUUGUUUCAAAAAGUUCAAGAAAGAAUAUUUUGUAUUUUUUAAACAAAGAAAUCAAGCCACAUUUCUUGGACUGAUUUGUCCACUCAUUGUGCUCUUAGUUCAACUGUAGGGACAAAAUAGUUCAACAAAUAUAGCUCUAUUUCUUUGUUUCAAAAAGUCAAAAGAUUCUUCCUUGAACUAUUUGAAACAAAACAUUUGUGUCUUUCUUUAGUUUGUUAUGCCACGUAGAGUUCAUUAGUUCAAUGCAUAAACAGCAUAACUGUUCAAGUAAUAUUACUUGAGAAAACGGCAAACACCCUAAAAAAUAUAAAAAUUUUAAACCGAACAUUUAAGAAAAACAUAAUAAAUGUGAGUGAAUACAAGUGGAGAUUACAAUUUGGAGUGUUUAUUCAUGUCAGUCAAUUUUGGUCAUAAAUUUGAGUAUAUGUACAAACCCCACUUUGUAUAACCUCUCAUACAAUCAACAUUUAUUGUGUUUGAGUUUACCUUUUUCUACUCGAGUGUUAUUUAUUUUUGGGGGUUCUUGAGAAAGGGGAAUUGAUAAGAGAUUCUUGAGUUACUACCUAACCUAGCAGCUGGACCUAGAUUGUGAUAUCUAUUAUUAUCAAUAUGUUCCAUGCAUAUAGCUAGGGAAGAAUGAUCUUUCAAAAUGAUCCAUCUUGAAUCUUGUUUAUUUCGAAGGAAAUUGGUCCAUCCUUACCUGGAUCUUCCAACCUGCCUGCAAAUGCCGACUCUGGUGACCUUCCACUGCAUGUUGCACCUGAAAAAAUUGCUCUAUUCUUAGAUCAAAUUAUUAGGGGAGGAUCCAAUAAUGACUUCUAUAAAGAGAUGUGAAAAUGAGAAAGAUGACAAAAUAGGUCAAAAUGAUGGUGUAGAAUUUUCAUCAAUUUCAGCAAGAGAUUCACCAAGAGCUAUAGCCGAGAAGAGAGUCUCUCAACUUUCAUUGGUUGCUUCAGAAGACUUUGCUGUUAUGGAGGCAUUAGUGGAACAUCUUAUUAUUUUUUAGUUAUCAAAAAAACCCUACCUUCCAGAUCCCAUGAUAAAAGACGAGAUAUAUGAUAUUGGACUCCCAUCUCAAUCAGUAGGAAAGGGCCCAAAAUCUCUCACCUUUUCUUUGUUGAUGAUCUAACUCUUUGUGCUGUUGCUAAUGAAAGAAACUGUGAAACCAUCCGAGCCACUCUUAGCAUCUUUACCUUCCACUCUAGCCAAAAAAUUAACAUUCUUAAAUCUAAAGUAAUCUUCUCUAGAAACUGUGCUCAGGAGACCAAAGAUAGUUUGUCUCACAUCUUAGGCAUCCAAUCCAAAGAAAAGUUCAGCAAAUAUCUUGGUUUUCCCGUCUUCAACAAAAAACCUUGCAAUAGAGAUUUGUAAUUCAUCCUAGACAAUCUCAACACUAAGUUGGCUGGAUGGAAAACCAAAUUUCCCAAUAUGACUGGUAGAAUCACCCUUACCAAAACCUCUCUGGCUUGUAAUCCCGCUCAUGUGAUGUAAUUCAUCUUGAUCCCCUUUAAAAUCAACUAAUUUAUUGAUAGAACCCAACAGACCUUUCUCUGGGGCACCACCCCUGAUAAUUAGAAAAUACAUCUAAUUAAUUGGGAAACCUUGAUUAAUGCUAAAGCUAAUGGGGGCCUGGGCCUCUAGAAAGCUUCCAUUAAGAACACCACUAUGUUAUCCAGUUUAGCCUGGAGAUUUUACAAACAUCCCAAUAGUCUCUGGGAAAAAAUUCUUUAAAAUAAAUUAGUCCCCAUGCCAUUUCCCUCAAAGCCAACAACUUUAGAACUUGGAAAAGUGUCCUUAUGGGUUGGGAAAUUUGUUAAACUGCCUCCUCUUGGAAUAUUCAUAAAGAUGAUAAGAUCAACUUCUGGAAGGAUAGAUGGAUGCCUCACUGUGAACUCCUUCUUUCCAUCAUCCAAGACCUUCUUCCAUAUCAUUCCCAAGACAUUAAACUCUAUGGGGUCUAAAGGAAUGACACCUGGAACUUCAAGGAUGUUACUUUUGAAAUCCAUGAGGAUCUCAUCCAAACUUUUACCAACAUUGAUUUCCCCAAUCCCAGAGGCCAUACUAAUGAGCUCAUUUGGAAUUUCACUGGUAAUUAUCUUUUCUCCAGCAGAAUUUCUUAUAAUCAUAUAGCCAAAACCUCUGAGAUCAAUUACUCCUCUAAUUUUAACUGGAUAUGGAAGGCUAAAUCCCCUAAAAAGGAAAACCUUUCUUUUGCUAAGCCAGUAUGAUAGGUACCCCAAUAACCUUAACCACUCUAAGAGAAGAGUGAGACAAAAUAGUAGUUGUGCUAUCUGCAAUCAUCACCAGGAAGACAAAUCCCACAUUUUCUUCAAGUGUCCCAUCCUCAAAUAUUUUGGAGUGCAAACUAUCCACAAGAUGACCCAGUCCAAACAACCUCCUAUUACUAGUCUCCUACCCUCUUACUGGCACACUAUCUGGAGAUCUCUUCAACACUCCCAAUUCAAUAGACUAAUCCACUAGCACGACAUUAUUCCUUUCGGCCUCUAGACAAUCUGGAACACCAGGAACUCUAAUACCUUUAAUAACAAAAGGGACCAUCCCAAUUUUAACUAUGCUUACUCCCAAACUAUUGAGUAUAAACAUCUUACUCAAAAGAAUACCCCAAUUAAGCAAAACCAAAUCAUCAACGUUAAGUGGAAUCCUCCCACCAGCCACACCUUCAAGCUCGAUACUGAUAAUUCUAGCCUUAGAAACCUCGAGAAGGGUGGAAUAGGAGCGGCAGUCAGAUCAAGUAAUGGAGGCUAAGUGUUAGGUUUGAACAAAAUUUAGCAAAUAAUUGAUGAGCUCUAAGGGUUUCCAACAAGAUUCAAAGAUGAUUCUCAUGGUCAUCCUCACUUCGAGAAUAUACAAGAAUAUCAUCUAUGAACACAAUAACAAAUAAAUACAGAUACCGCUUGAAGACUCGGUUCAUAAGAUCCAUGAAACCCGCUGGAGCAUUGGUUAACCCAAAAGACAUGACAAGAAACUCAAUAUGACCAUAGCGGGCUCGAAAAGAUGGCUUUGGAAUAUCACACUCUCUCACUUUAAGCGAAUGAUAGCCGGAUCUAAGGUCUAUCUCUGAGAAAUAACUUGCACCCUGUAGGUCAUCAAAUAAAUCAUCGAUUCUAGGAAGAGGGUACUUAUUCUUAAUAGUCACCUAGUUGAGUUGGUGGUAGUUAAUGCACAUACACAAUGUACCUUCUUUCUUCCACACAAAUAGAACAGGUGCAACCUACGGGGAAACACUGGGUCUGAUAAAGACUUUUUCUAAGAGGUCUUUGAGUUUCUCCGACAACUCUUUAAGUUCUGUGGGAGCCAUACGGUAUGGAGGGAUGGAAAUAGGCUGAGUUCCAGGAAGAAGAUCAAUCCUGAAUUCUAUUUCUCUAUCAGGUAGGACCCCUGGAAGGUCUUUCGGGAAAACAUUGGGAAACUCUUUAGCAAUGAUAACUGAACAAAUAGUUGGAGUCGCGAACUUAAGGUCUUUAACUCGAACUAGAUGAUAUAUACAACCCUUGGAAAUCAACUUCCUAGCUUUGAGGCAGGAUAUGAAAUGGCUCUUUGGAGUUAUAGAACUCCCAAACCACUCAAACCUAGGUUUGUUUCGAAACUAAAACUUGACCACUCAGGUAUGACAAUCUAUAGACGCAUAGCAUGAGUGAAACCAAUCUAUACCUAGAAUGACAUCAAAAUCAACCAUAUCUAUCUCAAUCAGAUCAACACAUAUGACCUGAUGAAGGACAGUAAUAGGACACUUCUUAUACACUCACAUAGCAAUAACAGACUCUCCUACCGGGGUAGAAACCAGAAUAGGUUCAGGAAUCCAUUCAGGGUCCAUCUCAAAAUUUAUAGAAACUAGAGGUGUCACAUAAGAGAAACUCAAACUGGGGUCCAUCAAUACAUACACAUCAAAAUGAAAGACACGGAGCAUACCAGUGACAACAUCUAGGGAAUCCUCCUACUCCUGGAGAAGUGGUAUAGCAUAGAAUCAAGUCUAGCGUGAACCACCAACAAUACUAGAAGAGGCACACUGAGGAGGAACUGGGUGGACUAUGGCAGCAGAGGCACUGGUAGCCUGACUCUGGGGACGAGCAUCUUGACCCCCUGUCUAGCAUACAGAUAAUCUCUAAGUCAGUGGCCCAACUUGCCACAACCAAAGCAAUAUCUCUGAUCAAUAAAACACUCACCAAAAUUAUCGCUACCAUACUUGGCAUAUGAAGGAGGACGAGGUAUGUUACUUACACUUUCUUGAGACGUGGAUGGGAUAGGCCUGUUCCCCUGCUCUUGCCUGCUUCUAGGUGCAGGAGCACUAACUGAGGAAGGUGCGGGCAUAAAUGAAAGUCUCUGGAACUGAAGGCGGUCCCCUUCAUAGAAUCUGGACUAACCGAAUACCUGCUACUCUGAUCUAGCUCUUUUAUUUUCUCUUACUCUCUCCCUCUCUUCCACCUUAUCAGCUUCAAUCUAUUGGGCAUGUAUCAUCAACCGAUAAAGGUUUAUCUUUCUAUUAAGCAUAGCAGAUUUACACUAUUUCAUAACGUAACUCAACACACUGGUCAUAAACUUACUCAUGAUGGUCCUGGAGACAGCCAUCAUACUAGGUGUAUAUUUGGACAACUGAUUGAAUCUAACACAAUACUCCUUAACAGUCAUGGAGCCUUGUCUCAAAUUUAUUAAUUCCUCUAUCUUUGCUUCCCUUAUCUCAAGAGGAAAGAAUUUGUCCAAGAACGCAUCUUGGAAUAACUGCCAAGUCAUGGGGCGGCAUCCUCCCCUCCACUUUCCCUCCAUACUUACACCCAAUCAUAUGCAAUAUCUUUCAUUCGAUAGGCAGCCAAUUCAACACUCUCCUCUUCAGUUAUGUGCAUAAUCUGGGUGAUCUUUCUCACUUCAUCCAAGUACAUCUGUGGGUCUUCACCUAUCUUUGACCCAUAGAACUCAGGAGGAUUCAUCUGCAUAAAGUCACAAAUCAAGCUGCAGCAGAAAUAAUCUCUUACGGAGGUGGAAUAGUAGCCUAGUUUUUAGCUUGAGUAUUGGCAGUAACUAACGAGGCUAGCACCUGAAAAUCUGCCCAGAAUUAUACAUGUGACACAUGCUCGUUCAGGGGUUCAACGGGUUGAGGUUGCUCAUUUUUUCUAUGAGCUCGAUAAGGAGGCAUUUUCUAUCAUAAGAGAGCAUGAAUUAAUAGCAGAGAGAAAUAGUCGUAGGACCGAUAGACUUUUGAAAGAAAAAAAUGACUUUUCCUAAAACGUCCCAUAGCCUCUUGCUCAUAUAUAUGGCACGCUACACAUCGAUGAUCACGACUCUACAUAACACGGCUUACCAGACUCCCUAGGACUCCUUAAACCAUAGGCCCUGAUACCAAGCUUGUAACACCCCAAGAUCCCAUCCCGAGACAUCACACGGUGCUAAAGGCCAUACGCGGCCUCAAGCUAACCCUCUAAACCUGUCAUUACUUUGAGAACUCACUUUUAAAAUAGUCAUGCUAAUAUAAUAGAGAAUGACAUAUCAUAAACAUACUGGAAUAAGUUACGAAACUAGCAUGUACAAUCUAAAAUACUGAAAUUCUGUACAUACUAACCCUUAAGCCUGACAAAGCCUCUAGACAUCAAAAUCAAGGAGACAUUGGGACAAACCCCCAACUGACUCACACAGUACUGAAAACCAUAAAAACAAAAUGGUAUCACAAAGUUAUAAACACAUUCCUCAAACUAUGAGGACUCACCACUGAGUAGACGAAAAGUGGCUCCUGAAUAUCGUUAACGCGGCUGUGUACCUGAACCUACAUUAUGAGAAAAUUUAGACCAUAGAAAAAUAUGUGGCUCAGCACUUUGAAAUGUACUGAGUAUGUCGGGGUGCAUGCAUAAUGUAAAUAUCGUCAUCAACUUCAUGAAAAUAUGCAUAUGUACAAUGAUGGCUUACUUGGCUUGAGUUAGAUUGAAACAUAAUUUUCAUGAUCUCACCGUAAAUAAAUCAUAUGAUAAAACCCUCAUAAAUCAUCAUAAACAACUCAACUAUUCAACUCAAGACUCGGAGUGACCUAUAAUUCAAGAAACUCGACUCUUAUGGACAUGGGAGGUUCUUAUAACUGACAUAAGCCAAGUGAGCUACAUGGAGUCCAACAUUUUGCCCUCCUAAGGAGAGAACCCCACAUUGACGAGAGCGUCAUACUCUUGACAGGGAGUACAACCUAAAUUAAGUGAUCACAAUCUCAUACUCGGCCAUCGACCCUCAAUUAUCAAUAUCAAUCCUACGGUGGAACAUAGUUUUGGGGGAAAUACAAUAUUUCCUAUUCGGUGCUAAAUACUACUCCCAGACAUAAGCUCGGAACGCAUUAGGAAAUCCACAACAAACAUCACAAGGGUCUAUCAUGAAGACCAAAUCAAAUCUCUUUCUCAUUUAUCAAAUCAUAAUCAAUAUGUGGAUUCCUAACUCGACUCAAAUCAAAUCAAUCUUUCUCAAUAUCAAAAUGCAUCAAUUCAUUAAGUCAUGGGAACAUCAAUAACUUUGAGAAAAUAUCAAGACUCAUUGUAACAACUCAAUUCUUAUGAAUCAAUAUACUCAAUAAUCCAAUUUGUCAUAAGGAAGCUUAAAGCUUGACACAUAUCUUGAAAGCACUUGAAAUACCAACUCAUGGUAGAAACUUGAAAUUCACAAUAUUAAAUAUCAAGUCAUAACUUGGAAAUUAUAAAAUAAUCAUGUAUAACAAAGCUUGAAAUAUUUAUAUUCUCAUAAUCUCAUGAUGAAGUAAUUUGGGUAUAAACCCACUUGCAAAAUUAUAUAAAUCCACUAUAAAAAUCAAAGCAUUGAGCACAAGAACGAAAGAAUUGCUCUUGUUCAAAACUCCACAUACCUUAAUCUUUGAAAUUGGUUGAACUAUAGUGCUUGAGACUUUACUCACACUUGUAAUAAAAAAAUUCUUGAUUCCCACUCUAUGAGGAACUUGAUUCUUGGAGGAAUCUUGAAGAUUUAUGGAUGAUUUUGUGGAGAUUAAUUUCCUUAAAUAAAACCCUAGAUAUAUUUCAUAAAAGAAUUAGAAGAGAGAAAUGAAGAAAUAAGGUUUUGGAUGACGAUUCUCAUAUAUAUAUAGGCCUCCGAAAAUAGGAAAUGACUAAAAUACCCUUGCAAAUAUCGUUCAUCAAUUGCUGAAAAAAAUAGCUGAUGAUAUCUGUGACAAGCUGUCAGGCCCGUGAUAGGUCUCCACCAAUUGUCAUCACAAAAAGGGUGGAUUUUGUGACGGGCCGUCAGGCUUUUGACAAGUCGUCACAAAAGGUCAUCACGAAUUCUCCAGGCUGACAUGCUGGAGUAAAAUAAGCAUAACUCUUUCCUGCGAUAUUGUAUUUUGACGAAAUGGGUAUCGUUGGCAAGAUAAUUCAAUUAUCUAUCUUUUGGUAGGUCAUUACCUCAAUAAUUCAUAGUACAACGGGAGAUAUGCUCAUUUGAAGUUGACUAUGCCAAAAUCCUUCUCAAGAAUUCAAUCAGUAAAGAAUGUUUUGAUUCACCCUAGCGUUAGGACAUCUUUAAAGUCUUAAUACACAUCACCCUUGACCAGAAAACAACCAAAACACUAUAAUUUAUUUCUUAUGGGCUUGUGUCAUUUCGGCAUUAUUGGUUAGAAUCUCGGGGUAUUACAUUAUUACUUUUAAUUAUCUUUGCUAUUUACCUUUCUACAAAUAUAAUGCAAAUUUAUCUUAUAAUGUUAUAAUUGAAUUUAAAUAAAAUAUUUGAGAUCAACCACAUAUAUUUGAUAGUAAAUUAUGUUUUAUUAUUAUUAUUAUUAUUAUUAUUAUCAUUAUUUUUAUUAUUAUUAUUAUUAGUAGUAGAUAGUUCAACUAUGAUUUUUUAAUUUUAAACUAAUGAAUUAUUUUUUUAAAUUUUCAAAGCCUACUAUUUUCAAAUUCAUAUAUUUCUAUUAACAUAGUGAAUUACUUAUGUAGGACUUAAUUACCUGCAUAACUCACUGCUAAACUAACUACCAAAAAAUACGCUACUACCUGCGUAAAUAAUAUAUAGAUAAUCCCUAAAUUAAAAAAAUCUGCAUCACUCUAAUUGAGGCCCUUUCAUUAUUUACUUACAGCUUCUUAGGUUUAAGUGGGUAAACAGAUGAAAAAAGAAAAGAAAA